ACUCUUUUCUCAGAGCAGAGUAUAUACAAAUGACUUCUGUUAAAUAUAAAAAUAUUUAAACAUCAUUCUCUGCCGGCUUAAAUUUUUAGAAAAUAAUGAUUAUUUUAUAUAAUUUAACAUAGUAUCAGAGCAAAGGUUUCUGAAUUCAAGUCACACCAGGCUUCUAGCAUUAUUAAUUUUCUCACAUUUAAUUCAAAUCCACAUCAUGGGCUUAGAAAGUCUCGAGCCUAAAUAUCAGAGGGAGUGUUAAAUAUAAAAAUAUCUAAGUAUCAUUCUCUACCAGCUUAGAGAAAAGUCUCGAGCCCAGACGUGAGAGGGAGUGUUAAAUAUAAAAAGAUUUAAAUAUCGUUCUGUACCAACUUAAGUUUUUAGAUAAUAACAAUUAUUUCGUAUAUUUAAUAGCUUCAAGAAAUCGACUGUCUCUAAAGCAAAUGGCAAAUGGCUUGAUAAUUGGUACCUGAGAUCCCAAGUUCGAAUUCUAGUUGAUUCACAUUUCCAGCUAAGUUUAUUUCUAAAUGAAAUAAACGAAACGGGUAGCGUGCUACCUAUCUCUAAAAAAAAAAAAAAAAAAAAAAACUUCUAGCUAUUGACUAAUUAAGUGUGAUCUAAUUUGUUCCUCUUGUGGAGAUAAUGAAUACAAAUUUAUAAUUAGUGUUUUAAUGAGCUAGGGAUUGGCGAAUCAUUUAUCGGUCGACAAAUGCAACAGUCACUUGCUCCAGCAGAUGCAACAAAUAUUUGAUGCAAUGGUGAUCAGUAAAUCAUUAAAAGUCAAAUGCAAACAACCACUCUUGUUUCUCUCUAUCCUUGGUUUUCCUUUUUUUCCAUCACUGAACAUCAAUUUAUGUUUCGAAUUCCUUUGAUUUUUCUAAUAAAAAAAAUAAUGCGGUAAUAUAUCAAACAAUUUAUCGGACACGGUGACAGAAUAUAAUUAGGAGGCGAAUUUUCAGACAAGUGUGUGAGGUAAGUGUUACUUUAUAUAAAUAUUUCUUUGUACAGGAGAUUAUGCAUUCCUUAUAUUAGUAUAUACUAUAUUAGUUUUCUUACCAAUUCACAACUCAUCAUGUAUUAGCUUGAUCUCUGUUUAUAUAAAGAGGUCUUUUGUAAUUUAUAAAAUCAGAAAGAAAUAUAUUUUCUUCUCCAAUUAUUCUUUGUUUCAUGGUAUCAGAGCGCGACUAGCUUAAUACGCAAAAGCUCGUCGUCACAAGAUCGCCGUCGAUAUCUCUCGACCUAAUUCUGUCAUGACAACCGCACCUCCAUCGAUGCCGCCUGUACAGGUUCCUACACCGACACCUCCAUCAAUGCCGCCUGUACAGGUUCUUGCAUCGACUAUUGCCCAGCUCGAUGUUAAACUUUCCGGGCCUAAUUAUCGUGAAUGGUCGGUGUCCAUUCAACUCUUGUUUGAUGCUCUCGAUCUUACUGGACAUAUUGAUGGUGCUGGUCCACCAACNCAUGUAUUAGCUUGAUCUCUGUUUAUAUAAAGAGGUCUUUUGUAAUUUAUAAAAUCAGAAAGAAAUAUAUUUUCUUCUCCAAUUAUUCUUUGUUUCAGUAAGCACUUCAAGAUAGUUUUCGAUAUUAAUCGAUUCUACGUGAAUUGUUUCCCAAGAGCUUAAAACUUUAGCUCCCCCAAUUUUCUAUCUAAGAAAAAGGGUUCUUAAAAGGAUUAAAUUUUUUACGUGAAGUUAAUUAAUGGCUUAAAAGAGCUUUUGCUCCCCAAGAGCAAAAGCUUCAUAAACUUCGAAACCGCUUUUUAUGCACUAGCUAGUACUAUUUCGACAAUUUAAAUGAAAAUUGUUAAUUAGACUAAGCCCUUCAAUGUGCAUGCAUGAGAGAGAGAGGAUAUAAAAUUGUAGAUACCUAACCAAAGCCAAGGUGGUCGUUCUCUUUUUAAGUCCUUAACAAUAAUAAAAGGCUCCCUAGAAUUGUUGAGCGCUGUUACCGAGAGCUCGAAUCUCAAAUUGAAGCAAAGAGCUGGUCCACCAUGUCACCCAAAUACAUUGGAAUCUCUAAAAUUUUUAAAGUUUAAAUAUAAAUAAUUUGCUGUGAUGUACCAGUGUAACCUCUUGAUAUAUAUGACUUUACAGCAUUAAAAUGACUAUUGAUCAUUAGGUGAGAGAAUUAUUAAGCGCAUAACUUGGAACUAGUAGAUUUUUUUUUUUUUGGUUGAGGGAAAGUAGAUUCUUCUUUUCGGUACAGUAUAUGCUACAUGUACAUUACUUUAAGAAUUUUUAUUUAAGAAUCUCUAUAACUAAACUUAUUACCUAAAAACAUCUAUGUUGUUCUUUUGGUAUUUAGCACUGUCUAGUUAUCUAUGCGUAAAAAAUAUAUAUUUUAAUCGAAUCAAUGCAAUAGAAAUGUAUUUUGUAUAAUUUUCACAACACGUAAUAUGUUCUAUAGUAAUCACAAGAGACAAUGAACUACUGGAUAGGAAAAUAUAUUUAAACCUCUUUUUUUUUUAAGAGAGAAUGAUAAUAAACUAUCCGCUUUGUUUAUUAUUAUUUUUUAGAAAUAUAUUUUUUUAUAUAAAAAUAUGAAACAACUAAACUUUAGAUUUGAGACUCAACAUAUCAACCAUCAAAGUUUUAGCCACUGCGCUAUGUAUGGAUAACAGGUAGGAAUUUGGAUGGGAGCGGAACUCUCUUAGCACAUAAUGUGAAUGUGGUUGGUGAGUCCAUAGUCGCGCAUACUCACCAACUCUAAUACACACAAACUGACUGUCCCUAACGAAAGUGGCAAAACGUUUAAUGGUUGGCAUCCGGAGUUUUAAUUUUAAAUACUAAUUUAUUCAUAUUUUUAGCCAAAUUUAGUUUUAAAAUAAUAAGUAAAAUAAAGAAUAUACUACUUUUUUCUUAAAAAGAAACUCCAAUACACACAAAANAAAAAAAGAAAAAAAAAGAGAAAGAGGAGAGAUAAGAGAGAGAGAGAGAGAUAUUGUACAUAGAAAUUCGUGGUCAUGUGACAGGGUCAAGGUUAACGCCUUAUCGCUCUGACUCGAUGGGAAAUUGGGUCACAAACAGCAAAAGAACACGAGAGGGAAAAGGCGAGUACUGAAACAGAGGGACGGUCAUUUCAAAAGGGAGAGAGCGAGCGAGUGUGGUGUGGGUCUGUGGAAUCAGAAACUGGCCACGGCGUACUCAUGAAAACACAACAACAACAACAACAACCAAAAAAAAAAAAAAAAAAAAAAAAAAAAAGUCGAAAGAAGAUGCUUAAUUAAUGCUUUGUCAUAGUGGUAGCUGAGAGCUCAGGCACCUCCGCAGCUUCCUUGUUCUUUCCCUAUUAAAUCAUCAAAGCAAUCAAGUGAACCGGAACGCCAAAACCGCACUAUAAAAGGUUUCAUACUCUUUAAACUAUUAUCGAUGAUGCAUGAUGGAACAUUCGAUUCGACAAAUCGGCUUUCUUAGCUAUAAUCUAUACUACUAAAAUUAUUUAGAAACUAAAUUUUAUAAUAUUUCGACAGUAUUUGCCAAGUGAUUAAAGAAUCUAAAAAAUAAUUAUUUUGAUAGCCGAUGUGAUAUAUGUAUUUGUAAAUUUAACGGUGUAUAUCAAUUCAAUUUAGAUAAAAGUCUAAUAAAAAAUUAUAUUUACCAUCAAGAGUAAGAUCAAUAUUUUUUAUUUGAAAUUUAAAUAUUUUAUUACUGUUUUUAAUUUAUGAGAGUUUUAUUUUGAGCCGUUUGUUUUGAAGCUACUGGUUGGUUAUAUAACUAGGCAAACGAAUUAAAAAAUUUAGUUCCUAGAUAGUUUCAACACUAUAAAUUAUGUCGAACGGAGCCGAUUGCAAAAAAAGAUAUUUUAUCAAAAAAACUUGAAAGUACAGAAGCUUUCAUACUUUCAAAUGCAUAAUAUAGUCUGGAUCAGAAAUAUUUUGGUCAAUUCUUCUUCUUUUUUUUUUUUUUGGUUUCUCCAUGAAAAAUAUAAUAAUGAAUAUAACGAGUAUGAUUAGAUGUCCACAAAUUUUAUAGUAUACAGAUCCUCUAAAGUCAUUUCCUCAGACGGACAUAGUAAUACGCAUGAACAUGAGUGCAACGAAGAAAAAUCGAGCUCCUAAUUAUGUUUACACUAUAUAAUAUUUUAUUAUCGAAUAACAUAGUUGGGCAUUCAAAGAGGCCCAAAUUUAAGUUUUUUACGUCACUAUUCGAUCAUUACAGUUCUAAUGCUUGCAUUUGUGAAAUAUGAACACGGCUAUGUAAUCGCUUAAUCGGUUAAUUUGGGUCGAAACAUAAAUGAUGAGCAAAUUAGCUGUAUAUUCAGAAACAUAUGCGUAUAUUAUGACACCACAUCCCUUUUUUUUCCUUUUCCUUUUUCAUAUCCUUUGACUUUUCUUACCCUUCCAUCUCUUUCUUGUACAUCUAUUUCUUUUUCGACUUUUCAUGGCUUCAAUGAGUUUCGUUACCCUUUUGGUCUCUUUGACAGAACUAACAUUGGACCAUAUUUGAAUAAAGCACAAGGAUUAUUCGACAUAUUAAUCUUGCGAGAAUAAUAAGUUUUCAAGGUGAUCGACUCUCAAUGAAGUCUAAAAAUGAAAUUAAUUUCCGGUAUUGAAGUUGCGAAUCCUUCAUAAAUUUCUGUAAUAGUAUGAUUUUCAGAGUUUUUGUACACCAAACACUUAUAUUCUGAAACCAGAUCGGACAAGUGCUGCAUCUGUAUUAAUUUUAGCUUAUGAAAUUUUACUAUCGAAAGAAGAUAGAUUUCUUUUUCUUUUUUUUUUCUUUAUUUUAAAUAAAAGGGGCGAUUCCACCAUGUCAGUAGCUACAUUGGUUGGGUCACUGUUAGUUAAGUCCAAACUCGAUUGCCAUUAUUCUUGUUGCUCUUGGACAAGCGUGCAAGCAUGAAGAGCAUUAAAAAGAAAAACUCAGAAAAGCUAUAUCGUGGUCCACAGCCAACGUUCCAUAGUAUAUUAUACGUAUACUUGAUUAAGUUAAUACCCAUUGCAAAUCAAUUUUUCCACGUAUAUAUAAUCUUGAUACUUUUAGCUCUAUGGAAUAUGCAUCGAUUACUGUUAACUGUGUCUACAAUGAGGCGGAAGCUUUGCAGUAAACUAGUUUUUGUUUAUAUUAAUUCCUCCAUCUAAUACGGAAUAAGACGUCGUAUAUCUUAAUAUACGAUUCUCUUGGAAAAAUAGAUCAAGAGAAAGCCAUUGGCAAGUUGUAGAAUUUACUAAAACUAGAAUAACUGCGGUGGGGUUUGUCAAUCUAAAAUGUGAUUAAUAAGUAAUAUGAAGAAGUAUUAUUAUUUAUUGUUAGAUAUAGUAAAGGCUUGUUGAUUACCUCCAUUUAGAUUCACCAGGAAUUUAAUUAGGAUCUUUAAAUGGUGCAAAAGAAGCGUAAAAUAUGAAAACAAUUGAUAAAUAAAUGUUUAGAUUUCUAUAUUGGGUAAGUUUAACUCUAGUUUCAUCUUUGUCCAUGAAUUUUUAAAUUUGACGUUCAGAAUUUUGAUCUUUUUAUAAUAUUUUAUCAUAAACUUUGAACGUUCAAUAAUAUUGCAUUUUUUUAAAAAAAUUUUAGAGUAAAUGUUAAGUGGUAUUUGCAUCUGGUUCAUUUGUAUAUCUGUACAUCACAAAUUCAUGUGUUCUUCAUCAGUUUUAUUCUUUAAAUUCAAUGGUCCUAAUUUUAGAUAGAAGACAACAAGACCACAACAACAACUUAAUGAACUGUAGAAUUAAAAUAUAAAAUGAGAAAAAAAAAGUGAUAAAUAUGUAUUGCCCUAGCUAGCUAACAGUUUUGAUUGUUAAAUUUAAAAUUAUGACACUCCAAACAAAAUUUACACGCAAGUUUUCUUUGAGAGAGCGGGUAGUAUCCUGCAUUAAUUUUCUUUUUUUUUAGUAAUAAACAUAGCUAGUUGUACUCGUAUUGCUCAUUUUUUUUAAUAAUAAACUUAGCUAAAAAUGUAAAACAACUAGAAUUUUACGUACUUGGGACCUCAAAAUCAACAAGUAAGUUCUUUACUAUUUGCGUUAGAGACUAUCGGUAAUUUAAACACAAGUUAGGUUGCAAUUUACCCUUCUUAUAUUUUAAAAAGCAAACCGUAGAGCACAUUAAUGGCAUAUAUCUUGUGACAUGCAGAGUAACUAAACAAUGGUACACAGGAGAUAGAGGCAUUUGCGUGAACAUGGGGCCGAUAAUAAUGAAAGUUACAUAGGGAAACAAGAUCAUUUUAGGAUUUUAGCUUUUGGUGUGGUGUGUGUGGGAACCACUCACUCGAUCGUGUAGUCGUUCUCACUCUGAUUACGGGAUCCCUUUGCUCCCUUUACAACUGUACGUAGUUUUUACACUAAAUUUAAAUUUCAACUUUUGUGCCUAAAUAGAAACAAUAGCUACACAUUGUUCCUUAGUAUAGUUUCAGCGGGUACACUGACUGUCCCUAGAGCAAGUGGCAAAGGGCUUGGUGGUUGGUACUCGAGACCCAGGUUUGAAUCCCAGUUGAUUCACAUUUCCAGCUAAGUUUAUUUUUAAAUGACAUAAACGAAACGGGUAGCAUGCUACCUAUCUCUCAAAAAAAAAAAAGUUUCAGUGGGUUCAAUUUGAGUUGCGCGCUUUAACGAUUCGAAUUCAAAUUCGAGCUAGACCGAAUCCAAAUUGAGAGGUAUGAGGUCCAAAUUCGAAACCUAGCUAGUCCGAUAAUUUGGACCGCGUUUCGGGUGAGAUUCGAGCUCGGCUUAAACUAAACUCAUUUACCUCACUUUAUAACUGCGAUAUUAGCUGGUUACAAAGGUAUGCAAUGUUGGCCACAGCAUAAUUGAAUGGUCCCCUAUGAAUCAUAAACUUAAGCUAUUAUUGUACGGUGCAUUGCAUGUCGCGUCUCUGCAGUAGCACGAGAUACCAUUCUACGGUCCAUCAACUGUACCAAGUUUAAUUAUGAUACUUAAAAAGUUAAAAACUUACCUAACAAUAACAUGCCAUGCAUGUGUAAUUGUGUGAUUUUUGUGGUCUCUUUUACGGGAAAAGAGCAUGAGAUUUGGUCCUGCUGCAUCUUUUAAUAAAGGUAAUAAUCUCUACUAUUAUGAGAUUUCGUGCUAUUGAUUGGCAUCAAAUAACUGAUGGCGCGCGAAACUAACGGAAACUUUUUUUUUUUUUCAUUUUACAUAGAUAUACACACAAACACACGUAUGUACCAAAAGAAAAAAAACACACACAAAGACUUAUUUUGAUUGAUUCUCAUAUUUAUAAUAGAUCUCUUUAAUUUAACAUCAAUUUAUUCGUUAGUUGAAUUACUCUUCAAGGUUCAAAAAAAGAAAAAAUUCAUGACAAAAAUAAACAAACAAAACAAAACAAAAACAAAAACAAAAAGGAGAGUUUGAAACUUGAGGUUUAAUCGUAUUAAAAUUCUAUGACCAUUUAAUUUUUCUUUUGACUGUUAAUUUAACUUACACUAGAAUAUUGAGCAGCUUCAAAACCUAUAGAAUAUAUAGAUGAAUGCAGUUUUAAUAAUAAAUGCACUAUUCUUUUGACUGCUUAAUUAGUUGUUUUUAAAUCGGGAAGUGGUGAGGACGAAGAGGCUCAUCUGUUACAUUUGACUCUUUCUUUUUAUGAGAGAGAAAAGUAGUGUGCUAGCUGUUUCGUUUAUCUUUUUAUAAAUAAGUUUAGCUAAAAAUGCGGAGCAACUAAAUUUCGAACUUGGAACAUUGAAUACUAACUAUCACGCCCUGCGCUACUUGUGCUAGAGACGAUUGGUCUAUUACAUCUGACUCUUGAUCUGUAGUGUUCCUUGUUCCUACAAGAUACAAUAUUGAGAUCAUCUAGCACAUCUACUCCCCCAAUCUAAAUAACACAUCUCACACCGUUGAAAAUAAUAAUUUUUUGCCGUUUCAGAAUAACCGUUAUAACAAAUUUCAGAAGACUUGGAAAUUCUCGCAUAAACACAUUUCUUCCUUAACAUAUAAUUUUUUUUACUUUCAUUAAUGACAAAUUAAUUGACCAUUUUCUAAGAGUGUGAUAAAUAUUUCUUGCUUCUUCUUCACUUCUCUUUUGGUAUUAAUAAAUUAAGCAUUGGCCACGACAGAUAAGUCAGAUGAUUCUUUUUUAUAGAAGUUUACAAUCUCAAAAUGUAUCACAGUUGGUGGAUUGAUGUACAAUUAAUUUCACAAUGGAAAUUUGAGAGGAAAAGGAAAGAUGCACUUUUAGGUCUUUAUUGUACCCAAAAUAUUAGUGACAAAAUUAGCUUCAUAUACACAGCAAUUACAAAGAUUAUACAUGGUAUCUAACCUUAAUCUCCUCCUAAUUUAUGGCACCCCUUUUUGUGUUUGGUACAAUCCAAUGAUAAGACCCACCCACCCUCCUCAACUGGAAUCAUGCAUUUGUACAACCCCAUCAUGCACAAUCAAAUCAACACCCUCUCUCAACCCAACCCUGCACCCAAAACAAUUAUCUCACCAUCAUUUUUUAAUCACCAUGAAACCCCCCUCAAACCUCAGACCAACCACCCAAAACCCAUGCUGCUAUUAGUAGUAGUAGUAGUAGUAGUAGUGGUGGUAGUAGUAGUACACCCCACAGAGGAGCCCCACACCAACAACUACAGAGCCUCAAACAAAUGAAACAAAAACAGUAUUUUUAUUUUAAUUCCUUUUCCUCCCUUUUUUUUUCUCUUACUUUGUCUCUAUUUUUGCCUGCCAUUUCUCAUGCCCCUUUGCCCCCCACCCACACCCCCCCACUUUUCUCUCUCCCUCUCCCCAAAAAACCAUUUUCUCCACACACACACACACACACACACACACACACACUCCACACUACAAAACCCAUCUCUCCUCUCUACAAAACAGUGCUUGGUGUCCCCGCUCCUCCUCUUUCACUCUCAAGCUUUAGACUAUACACAAAGAGGGGCAGCUUCUUGUAGCACCACAGUUACCUAUGACAACAACUUGUGUGUAAAGCACGAGCUAGGAGGAGGAAGAGCGUGUUGGUCUCUCUCUCUCUCUCUCUCUCUCUCUCUCUCUCUCUCUCCCCAUAACACUCCAAGCUCUCUUACUGUGAGAGAGGAAUGGCUCCUAGCUAUGAUUGUACUGCAUCUAUCCUCCUGUGUGUAGAGGACAAUGAGAGCGUAAUGGGUUUUGAUGAGGAGGAGGAGAUAAGCUCGAGGGAGGUGGAGGGUCAUGCGCGUAGUGGGUUUCUGGGGCAAAGGAGCGGUUUUUAUGGGGAUUUUCUUAUGGAUUUUCCCCUUCAAACGGGUGAGUGCUUGGCCCUCCUUGUUGAGAGAGAAUGCGAGCAUCUCCCACGGGGGGAUUAUGCGGAGAGGUUGAAGAAUGGGGCUUUGGACCUCUCCAUAAGGAGAGAUGCCAUUGAUUGGAUGUGGAAGGUGGGUUUUUCUUUUCUUUUUUUUUUUUCUUUUUUUUCAUCUUUUCCCUUUUUUUUUUUAAGGGUAUGUUUCUGAGGUUUUCCUUUAUUUCAGUUCUAUUUUGUUUCAUCUUGUUUUACCCAUUUUUCAGGGGUUUUUUUUUUGUUAAUGGGUUUCAGGUUUUUUUUUUUUUUUUUGUGUAACUGUAUAUUCUGCUCUGCUCAAAAGCAAUCUCUGUAGAUUGUGUCUUUGGGCUAUCAUUAUUCCUUUUCUUGUUUUUUUUCUACUUAUCUGGUGUUUGUUGAGACCAUUUCAUGUGGUCCUUCAACACUUUGAUGAGGUCCUUGUUAAUGUACACUCUGAUUUUUAUCCCUUUUUUUAAAAAAAUUUGGGUCUCUCUCAUACAUUAUGAUCAAUUUUGUCCGUGAUUUUGUUGAACAGGUUCAUGCUUACUAUGGUUUUGGACCUCUAAGUGCUUAUUUAGCCGUAAACUACUUGGAUCGAUUCCUCUCUGCCUAUGAGCUUCCUGUAAGAAUCUUCACAAGGCCUUAAUCUCAUGUCUAAAUAUUAAAAUUUGCGACAAAAAAAAAAAAGAAAAAAACUAUAGUAGUUCUGUAACUAUAAAGCUCAUAUAUAUAAGUAGUCACACAAUAAACCCCACAUAUUUUUCCUCUUAUUUCAGCAAGGCAAUGCAUGGAUGACCCAACUACUAUCAGUGGCUUGCUUGUCCUUAGCUGCAAAGAUGGAGGAAACUGAAGUUCCUCUCUCCUUGGAUUUGCAGGUAAAUAAGAUCUAGAUUCACUUACAUAGAUGUCACCAUUGUGUCCCUUUGAACAUGUUCUGAGUUCACUUAUAAUGUUUCGGAGCAGGUUGGUGAGGCAAAAUUUGUGUUUGAAGCUAGAACUAUACAAAGGAUGGAGCUUCUUGUGCUGAGCACCCUCAAAUGGAGGAUGCAAGCUGUGACUCCUUUCUCUUUUAUAGACUACUUCCUCCAUAAGUUGAAUGAUGGCACUGCACCAUCCAAGUUAUCGGUUUCGCGAGCCGUCGAACUUGUUUUGAGCAUAACCAGAGGUAAAUAUAUUGCUCAUAAAGACUUCUCUUGUUGCAAAGAGUGGUAGAUUGAAUUGUUUGGCUCAAAAUUUCUAUGGAUUGUUGUAUCUGCAGGAGUUGAUUUCCUGGCUUUUAGGCCUUCACAGAUUGCUGCAGCUGUUGCGCUUACUGUGCUAGGAGAAACCCACAUAGUAGAAGUUGAGAGGGCCAUUAAUUUUUGCACCCAUGUUGAAAAGGUACUGCAACUGCACAUUGCUACCUACUAGCUAUAAAAACUAGAGGUCCAUAUGGUUUUAUCUUUGGUGGGCAUUGAAUGUGUGGUGUUUGUUGUUGCAGGAGAGGGUGCUGAGAUGCUGUGAACUGAUUCAAGACAUGAUGUUGAGGAGGGACAUGUCACAUAAAACAGCAGGCUCAUCAAUUUCCUCUGUGCCAAGAAGCCCAAUUGGGGUGUUGGAUGCAGCAUGCUUGAGCUACAGGAGUGAGGAUGCUACUGUUGGGUCACAUGCAACAUGCCAUGAGAGCUCUCCAGCUAAUAAGAGGAGGAGGAUUAGCAGAUUACCAUUCUCAUAAAAAUAGGGAGGAGUUUUUGUGUGCUUUUGCUCACCUGUUUAGGAGAGUUUUUGGUGCUUUCAAAGCUGGGGUCACUUUGGUUUGGUUAGUGGGAGUUUUUGGUGCCUUUAGAAAUUACCAAAAUAAGACAAAAAAAAAAAGAAGAAGAGAAAGCAUGACUAAAACCUUUACCCAAUAAAAAGAGUAAAAAGGAAUAAAUACAGGUGGGCAUUCAGCAAAUUAUGGCCCUGACAUGAGUAAGGCAGCCACAAGCUGUAAAAUUGCCAAAAUGCAGACCUAAAAAAUGGAAAAUCGAUGGAAAAUGAGGGCACAUUUAGGAGAUAUAUAUAUAUAUAUAUAUAUAUAUAUAUAUAUAUAUAUAGUUACAUAUAUAUAUAUAUAUAUAUAUAUAUAUAUAGUUACAAAGUGCUUUUGUUGAUUGAUUGUAUAUCUCCUUUUCUUGUGGAAAUGAUUAGGAAAGUAACCCCCUUUGGGAUCUAAGUGGCCAACAAAAAAAGCAAAAACAGAGGAGAAAAUAAUGCAUUUCUUGUGUUCCCCUGUUCUUUUCUUUGACUGUUGGUCUGCUCGGACUCUGGAAUCUGCUUCUCUUAUGAUAAAAUAGAAGGGCCCUUGUCACCACAAGUCUUGGGAAUACAACAUAUAUAUAUAUAUAUAUAUAUAUAAUUUAUAUAUCUAAUAUAUAUAUAUGUAGUAUGUAUAACUAUAUAUAUGUAAAUGUAUAUAUAUUAGUAUGUAUUAUGUAUAUAUAUAUGUAUUGUAAUAUGUGUAGAUAUGUAUAUGUGUAUGUGUAUUAUGUGUAUGUGUAAUGUGUAUAUGUGUAUGUGUAUGUGUAUAUAUAUAUUAUAUGUAUGUGUAUAUGUAUAUGUAUAUGUAUAUGUUAUGUAUAUGUAUAUGUAUAUAUACUAUAUGUUAUAUAUAUAUGUAUAUGUAUAUAUAUAUCUAUAUAUAUUAUAUGGUCAGCUACUAUCCUAUUAAUAUGAUUGGGACCCUUGUCCUAUCAAGUCGAUUUGAACGAUCGAAACUUCAAAUUGAUAAUCGGCACCGUUGAAGUUGAUCUACACAAUUAGAAAUGUUUAGAAACCAAAUUUUGUAAUAUUUAAAAAUCAUUAUCAAAUUCAUCUUAAAAGUUGAAAAAUGAACGGUCAUAAAUGAAUAACCUUCUUAAAAUAAAGGUUAGACUUUCUCAGUUCGUAAUCAGAGUUAUCAAAUAUUAUCUAAAUAGUAUAAAAAAUUUUCUAUCAAAAAUUCAAACAAUUUGGAUUGCUCUACACCGUUAAACAAGCAAACGGCUCAUAUAUGCCGUCAAAAAUUGUCGAUUUUACGACACUUUGAUCACCAUGUAAACCAUUAUCAAAAUUUAUGAAAUUUAGUUUCUAGAUAUUUUAAAUACUCUAGAUCAACUUCAACGGCUCCGAUCAUCGAUUCGGAAUCUCGAUUAUCAAGAACAACUUGAUAGGACAAGUGCUCCUAUCAUAUUAAUAGUAUAGUAGCAUUAGCCUCUAUAUAUAUAUAUAUAUAUAUAUAUAUAUAUAUAUAUAGAACUAGGCUGAAAUACUAUUAAUAGCACCAAUGACUUGGUGCUAUUAAGUUUUCCGUCCUUGGAUUACAAGAUAUAUGGUUAGAAUGAUGUGGACCCCCUAGGGUUGAGUGGGUGGUUGGUUGAACGAUGAAAAUGAUAAAAGAGAUAAAUCUAACGGCAAAAAACUUGAUAGCACCAAAUGCUUUGUACUAUUGAUAGUAUCCCAGCCGGACUAUAUAUAUAUAUAUAUAUAUAUAUAUAUAUAUAUAUAUAUAUAUAUAUAUAUAUAUAUAUAUAUCAUNGAAAAAUUCUCCCCAUUUAGUUUUUUAGCUUUUGAAAAGUUUUUAUAUAUUCGUUAACGGGUAAUAUAUAUAUAUAUAUAUAUAUAUAUAUCUCUCUCUCUCUCUCUCUCUCUCUCUCUCUCUCUAUCUGAUGAUAUGAAAGAUAUCAUGGCUCGAGGCCAUGAUAUCGCAACCAAAAGCUAGAAUCCCGCAAGUUUAGUUGCUAGGUGUGGCAAUUUUGACUAUAUCCCAUAAAUUUUAAAGAUCUUUAUUUUAAAAUAUAAAAAAGCUGUAUCAAAUAAAAUACUAGUUUGAUAAAGUUUUAACAGUUAAAAGUUACCGAUAAUACUACUCAAACCUCAAAUUGCCACAUCUUCUUAGAUUUAAAGAAGUUUAAAACUAUCUUUUAUGAAAUUUGAUAUAUUUAAUUCCAAUUGUAAGAACUAGAACUUAAAUUUUCAAGAUACGAGUUUAAAAUUUCUAAUAAGUUAAAGGUGGCAGGUAAAACUAUAUUAAAUAAAUGAUUCAUUUGCUAUAGCUUUUUUUGAUUUUAAAAUAAGGAUUCUUUAAGUAUAUGGGAUCUAGUAUAAAUUGCCACACCUAGGCUAAUAUUAAAAAUAUCCUUUUUACAUUCCAAUCUAUUUCAAAUAUACCGCUAGAAUUAAAUUCUGUUAAUGAACGGUUAGCAAUAACUGUUAUUUGUAUAAAAUUACUAUUUUACCAUUUCAAAAUACCCUUCCACCAUUACCGACUUUUCUUAUUUGCUCUUAAGUUAGAGGUGCAAAAAAUAUUUUAAUUUUUUAUUUUUUUAAAAUUUAUUCCUCUACCAUCACUAAUAUUUUUUAUUUAUCCUUAAGUAAAGAGCAAAAUAGGCAUUUUGAUUUUUUUAACUCUUAUAGAUAUUUAACUCACGUUUAACUCAACUUAACUUAACGGAUGGUAACUGUAGGAGUAUUUUGAAAUAACGGAGGAACAUAUGAGGGAUAUAUUAGAAAGAAAAAAAAAAGAAAUAAAUAAGAUAUUUUCGAAGUUUUGAGAGGUAUAUAGGCAAUUAUCCCUGUAUAAAACCUUUAUUGAGUAGAGAAUCUAUAAACAUUUUAUUAGGUGAUUUAAAAAAGGAUUUCCAAAUGAGGUUUUAGACUAUAGUUUCUACUCUCACAGGCUCCAAAGAUUACUUAAAAAAAAGUGUAGGAGGAAUUGUAUAUAUCUUGUUGAGUUGGCCAUCUCCUCUUCAUUGGACUAAGCCAAAUUUUCUAAGCCUUGUUUACCAUAUGUUCAUUGCAAAAUUAAGUAAUAUUACAAGAUCUAAUCUGGCUAGGUUUUGUCUCGAUUCAUAUGUAUUAUGUGGCUCACUUGGACUUUUUAGUGUAUGUGAUGUAUAAUUUUUAAUUUAUAAAGUGAUUAAAAGGCCAAGUGCUUACUGAGGAGAUUCACUUCACGUAAAGGCUAUCACAUGUGCACAUUUAUGUGAUAUAGAACCAGUCACAGUUUAAUCUAUGGGAUUAAGAGGAUAAUACAACUUACUAAUAAACAAUGCUGUUAACACAUAUACGUAUGUUAUGCCCCAGAAGAAUUAAGAAUUAGUAAACUCUAGAGUUAGGGGUAUACUUUUUUUAAAAAAAAAUUGCAAAUCAAUAAAAAUAUUUUGGUUCACGGGAGAUAUAUUAGAUCUUUUUAAAGUUUUGAAGGAUACAUAAGAUAUUAUCCCUUGAUGGUUGCAUGAAAGCCCAUCGAAAUAUUCUAUGGCCCAUGGGCCAGCUUGUUUAUAUAAAAUAAAUAUACUAGGGAAUAAAAAUAUUUAAAAAGAGAAGAAAGAAACAAAAAAGUUUUGGUUUUUUUCUUUUUCAUAAAAGGGUAUUUCUGGCAUCUUUUAUUUCCCUUUUGUUUUUUCCUUUUUUUUUGUUCUUUUUUAUUGGUCAUAUUAAAUCUAAUUUUAUUUCACAACUUUACGGCUUAAAAUAACUUCGCGAGUUUGCUCGAACUUUUACACUUGCACAGUGCAUGCCCUCUCUUCCUCUAAACUAAAUAAAAAAGAAAAAAAUAUUACAUGAAGAGCCUCCCCACGAAGCUUUAGUUUAUAACCAUGUUUCUUUUAUUAGGACCAAAAGUGUAAUUUACCCCAUCCUUUUAUCUAAAUUUUGCUUUGCGUCCAUAGUGGUUACACGAGAUAAUUUUGCUCUUUGUCCACAAACUCUAAUUUCUAAUUCAAAUCACGUCAUCGAUCUCUAUUGCACCGUGGUUAUUGAACUAGCAAGUUAAAUGAUUGGAGGGUCCACAAAACAUUGUCCAUGAAAUAUUAUUCCACGUUUAUGAUACAUAUUUUUGGUUGUAUUUGGGUAGGAUAGUUCAACAUAUGGCCCUGCAGAGUUCGUACAUAAGAAAGCAGUACCUGUCAUAGGCAAAGUUUGAUUGAUUUAGAGAUAGAACUGAGAAAGUAUUAAUUGCUGUUCAACUAGUUUUUAGUCGAUUAAUUAAUUAUUAUCGCUCAUUGGUAAAUACCAAUAAUUUUUACUGUACCUAAAUUAGCCAUCUUCACCUUACCGUGUACUUAAUUAGCAAUAAGGGAAAAACAUUAUGUAUGAGAUUCUCUUGGAAUGAAAUUUCAUAUUAGCUCUUGUUUUAGGCCAACCGAUUAAAUGUUAAAAAUGAGGAUUAAUCUUAUAACCUCACAAAAUAAAACGAAUUAAAAGUGACUUUAAUACCAUAUUACUAAAAAACUAUAUCUAGUAGUAAACAGGCUUAGGAAUAUAUAUUAACAUACGCUAACUUAUCAUUUCCCUCUUACUGCCAAUAAGUCUACAAGUUUAAGGAACCAUUAUAAGUAUUAAAUUAAAACGCAAUACUUAAUUAAAUGCAAGGGGAAUAAUAUGCAUAGAACGCAAUACUUAAUUAAAUGCAAGGGGAAUAACGUGCAUGAGUUCUAUAUCUACAUAUCUAAGUGGCCUCUUAACAAUAAAAUUUUGAAGUGAAAAAGCAUAGACUACCCUUCUUCACUAGGGCCAAUCUAAUUGAGCAGCUUUUAUGAAACUCUAUUCAUUUGAUGUAAUUAAUUAUUUUCUACUAUAUAUAUGCAAUUAAUCUAUGUCAUAUGCCAAUUUAUUCCUAUUAAUUAAGUUGGUGGCCAAUAUUAACGCCCUUAGGCAAUUAAUCUAAUGCGCGCCAUAUUAAAAUUCCAUCAAAUUAGAAAUUAGAGACUUACUGAGAUAGGGGAAUGGUGCAAGUAUAUAAUUCUCAGAAUUUAGUCGAUCAAAAAAUUUCGUUUUGAAACAUUCACAGAUGGUAUGAUUGAUUUGAUAAUGUGUUAAAAUUAAGGACAUUUGACAGAUUAAUUUGUAGCCGUCUCUUUUCGCGAUCAUCUAUAAUUGCCUAAGGACAUAUUUAGUUCUUACUGGAGUAGAAUCGAAAUCGGAUACAUCGCAUAAUUAUGUUGGAAAUGAAAUAAAAAUAACCAAUUUCCAAUAGUAUAUAUACUUGAUUAAUUAGUUCGAAGCAAGAUAAAUUAAAAAAAAUCGAAAUGAUUGAUCAAUUCCCACUCCCACAUCUUUCGACUUGUAUAUUAAUUUCAUCUAUUUGAUCUUAAAUUUGCACCUUAAUCCACUAGAAAUUCGUAUAAAAUUUAACCAUGCAAACUAUAUAUAUAUAUGUAUAUACACUUUAACUCGAUCGCACGUAUGUAUAUAUCCCUAUGCAUAGAUGUAUAUAUACAAGUGUACAUAGAUACGCACCGUCGUGUUGCUUCAUUUGCCGGUGACAUCCUCCAACAGCUUAUACCUCCGAACUUUACCUCUGAACCCGCGCUUCACCCUCCCCAUCUUCGGCGACAGCUCCUCGGCCGCUUUCUCCGGCGCUCGCUGCUUCUUGAUGGGCUUGUCGAGCUCGGAGACGAACGAGCUUCGCUGCAGCGCAGCGUUGUUAUCGUCGGAGGACGAAACCGAUAUGAUCUUGUGAUGAUCAUGAUCUCCCGCAUGCGGUCUCACUGCAUGUUCCUCCCUCAAGCACCAGUUGCAUGCUCGGUACGUCGUAGCUCUUGGGUAUAGGUUGCUGCAGUAUCUGAUACGCGCGUCGACCGAGAAGAUUAAAUCAAAGACCAUAUAUGAUAGAUUUACAGUACUUAUAAUGGAUGCGAACCGAUCGAGUCUGAUACCGUGUUACGUAAAAUAUCGAUCAGGUAGUAAAUGAUCGAAUUUAGGCUGAAUCUUACUUGUGUUGAGAUCUAACAAGGCAGAUCUUGCACUUAAACAGCUCUCGGGGCAGCCCGUGAUCGCCGCACAUGCAACAAAUCGCCGCCGCCGCCGCCGCCGGUGACGGAGAUUGAGAGGGUGCACAACUACCUUUGCCCAUGAUCAUACAUAGGAGAUAAAAUAUAUAAUUAAAUACGUAUAUGGCUAGCUAGGCGAAGGGAUUAAUUCUCCCUUUUCUCUCUCUUUUCCCCCCUCUUGAACUUGCUAUAUGUUAUCCAUCUUUGUGUUAAUUAAAGAGAGAAAUUAAGGUGUGAGGAGGAAAAAAAAAGAGGGUUGUGGUGGGAACUAAGGAGAAAGAAUACACGAGAUCUCGAGCCCCUUAAAUUUUAUGGGUAGAGGUCCCUUUCAAAGUGACCUCUUGAGGGAGAAAAAAAUGGAGAUGAGGGCCAUGACCCAUGAAGAGUGGGGAGAGAGAAAGGAAUGGGAGCGGAUACCAUGGGCUCGAAGAAAGUGUGGUUCGACUAAUUUUCGCCUCACGAAUCUUUCUUUGUUUCUAUGACGUAUAAGCCACUGCAUGUUGACAAGGACUUUGUUUUUGAGUCGUAACUUAGUUAAGCAUAGACACAAGCUAAAAAAAAAGUUAAAGUGGUGGAACCUCUCCUAAGACGACUCAUCAAUUAAUAAUAAAGCGAAAAGACCUUGCUCAAUCGAUCUUUUAUUAAAGAACAGGAAAAAUGAGAAAACCCUUAAUAGCGUUUCUUUUACGUAAUUUACCAGUUUUUGUAAUUUAAAAUCUUCACUUUAAAAACCUGCCAUUAAUUAAUUUACAAGCACUAGAUCUAUAAAUUGAUAUACUUUAUAGAUAUAUAGAAAUUUACGAGCCUAUAAAUUUGUAUCUAACUAUCUACAAUAUUUAGUGAUUGGUCUUUAUUAUGAAAUAAAACUAAGAUAGCAAAGUAAAACUUUUCGAAUUAUAAAGUGACAAAAUAAAAAUGCGUUGAACUAUAUAAUGUUUUUUUUUUUUAGAGAAAGGUAGUUUGCUACCCACUUCAUUCAUUGGAAAAAUAAACUAGGCUACAAGAGUGGGACAACUUAGGCCCCGAAAAACGAAAAAAAAAAAAUCAAGUCGUUUCUGAGAGUACGUACAGCUAUUCCUGGGUUCGGUUGGAUUCUCCUAAAAAUCAAGUCGUUUUUGACCUUUCAAAUAAUCCACCAACAUCCUAUUAACUGACUUAGACUGCUCCUCUCCUUAUGUGGGCUCUUCCUGGCCAUCCACCUCUCCCAGACUUGUAUGAACUAUAAAAUGUUAAAAUUUGAAAUCGGGCGACAUAUUAGGGAAUUUUGGCCUAAACAGACCCUUUAGAGAACGGGCCCAAUAUGGGUCCGAGUAUGGCUUAAUUUGGGUUUUUAGGUGCGUUGCGCGAUGAGUCCAUUUGGCCCAGCCCCGGCCAAGCCACGUAGAAGUGUUAAAAGCCAGGUCUUCUUGGACUUACCUAGAUCAUACAAAUUUAAAAAUAGCCAAUCCAUAGUAGUACCAUUAAAUUAAGGGAGUUGAGAUAAAUGGCAAUUUUUUUUAAUGAACUUCGCCAAACUAACUACUUUUUCAAUUAAGCGAGUUGAUAAAUAGCAAUCGUUUUUAAUGAACUUCGCCAAACUAACUACUUUUUCUUUGUAUCGGUCCCCUUAAAUAUAUAGGCCAAGCAAUGCUUAAUUAAGAAAAGAGUGGCUCCUUUAGGUUAGAAGUGCAUUAAUAUAUUACUAAUGUGGCAUCACCAACCAAUCGGGUUGUUCUUUUUGGAUAUACCCGUCCUAUCAUGGUUAUUAGAAAAAAUAUUUUUAUUGUAAUUUUCUCUCAAAUAGAGAGAUGAAUGCGAUCAGCUAAUUAUAGAUAAUGUGGUGUGACUGUUACAAUAUAGUAGAACUCCUUAUAGGUUAUAUGCCUAUUUUAACUCUACUAUAUUUAAAAUAAGAAAGAGAAUGAAUUGAUUUAUUUGACUUGUGACGGUUCGACUCCAAAAAGGAACGGUAAAUAAUAUUCUUAUUAUGUCGAAUGUAAAUUAUAUUGACAAGCAAAAAGAAAAAAAAAAAAGAAAUUACAUAACAAAUAAUGACAAAAAUGCUAUUUAACUUUUAGGUGUUGUUUACACACCAGAGAAAAAUCCAAUCGGAGUAAUCAUGUAAAAUAGAGAAUUAAUUAAUGGAUAGAUGUUUUUCUUUAUAAUGUAAGUCAACGAGAAUAUUACAGGUGUAACAAUUUUUUUUUUCUUUAUUUUCAACGACAAUAGCUUUACAAGUGUUCGUAGGAAAAUUAACGUUCCAUAUAUGUGAAUUGUUUUCUAGAUCUUGCAGGUUGAUAUAUAUUUCCUGGGAUAAUAAAAAAGUUUCUUUCGGAAAUUAAUUUAUUCUCUGGUACAUCAACAGGGUCCAGUGGUUUUGAACCGUGCAGUUUUAAUUAAUUAAAAUAAAGAAAGAUUUCUAUACUGUACAAACUAAAACAUUAAUAUAUAGUUCAUAAAAAUGUCAACAAAAAAAACACAAAUAUGUCACAUUUUGUAUUAAUUGCUAUAUCUCCAGCUACGUUCAAUUAACAUGAGCAGAUAAUUAUACCAAAUCAAAUAAAUAAUUAAAUUCUAUAUAUAACUUGACUUAUAAUAUAAUUUAAAAUGCAAAUAAUACUUAUCUGAUAUAUAUAUAUAUAUAUAUNAUAUAUAUAUUUCCAGCCACCUUGCUCAGGGCCUUCGCUAAUCUCCAAAGAAAUCAACAAAAAUCUUAACUCGUUUAUACGUUACUAUAGUUUUUCUGUGACACGUGGCGACGAAGCAAAUUACCCUUCGACGUAGUUAAAUAAUUGAGUAUAUAUAUAUUUCUAUCGUACAUACGUACGUACAACUCUACUUUAUGGUCACCAACAUGAUCUAAUAAGACGACAAAAUGGGUGCUUAUUUGCUCAGCUGUGAAACAUGACGCUCUAUACGGGGAGAUCUAGUUGUUGUUACGUAUAGUUGAACAUCCAAAUGAAUCUGCAUGUUAAAAACUACCAUUGGCUUAUUAAGUAUACCUCUUUAAUUUAGAAGUUUAUUUAUAUAGUAGUUAGGUGAUAUAUAAUUAAGAAAUUAAUGGAAUUAAAUGUCCAAAAUAACAUAUCAUAUAUAUUCGGCUUUAAAUUAGUUUUUGAGAACAAAAGUUAAUCACCUGCUUUUGCGGAAUGAAUUUAAUUUAUAGUUGUAAUUAAACCCUAUACAAAAGAUAAGUCUUAUCUAUAAAAUAAUAAUGUAUAAAAUAGUUAAAUUUUGCACGAUUUUGAAUCAUCUUUUUUUUUUUUCAUAUUAAAGACGUUCAGAAAAAGUUUCUCUAUCUUUACUAAAAUUGGAAGCCACCUUAUUAAUUAAUUUUAUUACUGAUCAAAAUCUGAGAGGGAGAUAUCAACAUUCCUCUUAAUUAAUUAGCUACAACAGAUACUGCUUCCAUAUUAAUUAUCAUCACAAACCAAUUAGGGCCAUAUAAUCUCUGUGUUAGAAAUUGUACUACACGUGAAGUGAAGGGUAUUAAUUGAUGGUCUUUGUUGCCGACUUUGUUAACUUAUAUAGGUAAAAAUCUAUGGAUCGAGACCGCCUCACCUAUAUAUAUUUUAUAUUGAAAAUAGAUCCCACAACUUCUAAAUUUUUUAAAGUUUUAUACUUAGUUAUUUUAACAAUUCUAUGUAAUUUAAUGAUUAUGUACAUUAUUGACUAUUAAUUGAUCCAUUUUUGAUCGGUAAAAAGUGACUGAAGUUAAUAAAUUUAAUGAAAUCAACCAAUAAUUAAGUUUGAAAGAAUCCUUGAUUAUUUUUUUUUUUCAACGAAAACAAAUUUGAUUGUAAAAAAUUUGAAGUUAAUGGGCUUAUAAUGGAGAACCAACCCGUUAAAAGCGCACGUGUUGAGUCGCACCCCCCACCCCUCACUUCUCACGUGCGAAAUUCGCAACGGGUUCACAGCAGAUCCGCUUAUCCUGUACACCCAACGAACCCUCUCAACCGAACGUACGUGCAUGGCUAUACGCACGUCCGCAUAAUUCACCGCUCAACCCCUGCCACCAACAUGCAUAAAUAGCAUAGGUUUCUUCACGUCGUAACUCGCGAGCACCCUCUCUCUCUCUCACUCUCUCUCUCUCUCUCUCUCUCUCUCUCUCUCUCUCUCUCGAUAUUAUCUAUCGUUGCACGAUAUUUAAAGAACGCUCAGGGACUCACCAUCAACGGGAGCCUAAUAUACCACUCAACUUUCAUAUAGUUCACAUCAUAUAACAGUGGUAUAAUAAUAGUGAUUACACUGAAUAAUGAUGCUCCCCGUUUCCCAUUCAUCCUCAAACGGCACCCUGAGGGGCUACGUGGUGGGGGUUCCUUCUCCGAGCUUCGCGGAACGCCGUUCGAGGCACCGUCACGUCACCGUUAAGGCGGGUGCGAUGAGCCGGUUCGAGGAGGAGGAGGAGAACAGAAGAAGCGGCGAGGAGAGGCGGCGGAGGCCGAGGUUUCUGUGCCUCCACGGUUUCCGCACCAGUGGCGACAUAAUGCGGCAGCAGGUGAUGCGGAAGUGGCCCGCGGAGNCGUCGAGGGGAUGUUCCCUCCGCCGUACUACGAAUGGUUCCAAUUUGACAAGGUAUGGUUGGUUACCUUUCACAUAGAAAUAAUUAUCUCAACUCUAAAUUAUUUUGAGUCAACUAUCAAUUUUACUCUACAAUCUCUUAAUUUGUCCAAUAAACCAUACUUUGACUUUAAAUUUUAAACUAACUAGUUACUUUAAUUAAUUAUAGUUGCGAGAAUUGCAUGCUGUCUACUAAUUAAAUUUGUAUAGAUAAACGAUGUAUUAAAAUUUUAAAGUUAAAAUAUCGUUGACUAACUCAAAUCAAACAAAUUAAAAGAUUGUAUAAUUAAUUUUCCAUAACUCAGAUAAUUAGUUCCAUACAUUUUUAUUAAUUUUUUUAUUUGUUCUGUGUCUGCGUAACUGAUCUUUUCUUUUCUUUUCUUUUUCUUGUCAUGCUGUGGAUGAAGAAAUUUGUGGAGUAUAGGAAUUUUGGGGAGUGCCUAGCGUACAUAGAGGGCCUGAUGAUCAAAGAUGGGCCGUUCGAUGGGCUGAUGGGAUUCUCCCAGGGGGGAAUACUCUCAGCGGCGCUACCAGGUCUACAAGCAAGGGUAGGUCAAUACCGAUACCCGGUGAAGGACGAGCUAACAAACUAGGCUGUGAGAACUCUACAAUAAAGUCGCGCCUUACGUACAGUCUAUGAAAUUAAUCUACCUAUAACUACUGGACCCUCAUCUUUCGCUAGUUUUGAUUAGCGAUAAUAAAUAUACACGUUUGAGGAAUUGAGCAUUCAUAUAUAAUUUGUUUCGUUAGUGCGCGCUGCAUCAUCUAACCAUGAGUUAAAAUAAUUUCUUUUUCAUGAAUUAAAUGCUUAGAUAUAAUUUUUGGAUUCGAACAGGGGCUGGCUCUGACGAGGGUUCCGAAGGUGAAGUAUCUGGUGAUCAUGGGCGCAAUCAAGUUCCAGUCACCAGAGGUGGCCGAGAAGGCGUAUGGCACCAAGAUCGAGUGCCCGGCGCUCCACUUCAUAGGUACUGAUCAUCUAGUUCUUUCGAUUGUAUCCUUAUGCCACGAGUCCCCUUGAAGGAUCAAUCUCAGCAUUUUUUUUGCGCAUUGAAAUAAAUUAAAAAAAAAAAGUAAAUAAUGAUGUGAAUAGUACAGCACAUUGGUAACCGCAAUGCGGGAAAAAUAAAAGAUUUAUAGCUGGGAUUGAGUCUUCGAUAUUAAAGGAUUAUUGAGAGGUUUUGAUCAGGAAACCAUUGUGACUUGUAUCUUAAAAUUGGUCUGCAGGUGAGGCAGAUUGGCUAAAGAGUUACAGUGAAGCACUUCUUGAAUCAUUUGCGGAUCCGUUCGUCAUACGCCACUCCAAGGGCCACACAGUCCCUAGGCUCGGUGAGUUCGCCGUUAAUUGUAAUUAUGUUCCUAAUUUAAUUUCUCUCUAUGUCUACGUGCCAAUUCUUAUGUUGAGAGCAAGCUAUUUCUUAAAUACUAAUAAUAACAAUAUAAUACUGUACUAAUGAAAUUAAUCUACUCUUAACUUGGAUAAUUCAUGUUAGGAUAGUGAUAUAAUUAAUAGAGCAUAGAGCAUAAAUUGUGUUCAUUCAAAUUUGACGAUAUCUGUAAGGUAAAAUUGGUCAGAUUCAUAAACAUCCACUCUAUAAGUAGAAAUUCUUGCUUCAUUAGUCCACAUUAUUGUUUACCGCUCCAUGAUGCGGUAAAUAGCAGUGAAUUGCCCCACUUAUCUGGGAAACUUACAAGUCAAAUGAGAUGAGAUGAGAUGAGAUGAGAUGUUAAUGACAUGUUCUAUAUAUAUACAUGCAGAUCAGAAAAACUUGGAAGUGAUGCUGAAGUUCCUGCAGAAGAUUGAAGACGACAUAUCUUUGGAUGCAGCAAUAUUGGAUGUCAAGGAGAAGGAAGUGUGCUUAAUUUAAACCCGUAAUUGGUUAUUCUUCCACAAAGAUGGUGUGUAUUGAGAUAAUUAAAAACAAAUUGGUGCGUUCUCUAAUAAGCUGUCCAGGCUCCAUCCGUAUGCAUCUUGGAACUUCCGCCUAUUAUCUUAUGUACUAAAACUUGCUGUGUACUAUAAACAGUGUAAUUAUAUUUAUACCUAUUUCUGAAUAGAAUAAUCAUUUAUUUAUACAUUUACAGCUAUUAUCUCUUACAUUACAUUUUGUGCCCAAAAAUUUACAACUUCUCCAAUCUAUACAUUUCUGCUUAUAAUUUCUUAAGCAUCGAGAAUAUAAAAUAUAACCGUCUAUAUAUUAGUGCCAAUUAUAAGACACAGAAUUUCUAGAAACAUGCAAAUAUAUUGCCACACCGCCCAUUGAAAAAAUCAGUUCAAUUUGAAAAUAUAACAAAACUUGAUUGCAAUUUUUGGCUAAUAAGGUCAGAUUCGAAGGAGGUCCGGUCUAAAUGUUUGUGUAUCGUAUAGAUGUGAGUUUAGCCUCAUAUAUUAUUCUCAUAAAGCUUAUCCUCAAAGUAAAAAAUCUAUAAACUUUUUGGCAAAUGAAAUACUUUAUAUUUAAGACAAGCUUCCUCCUGAAUUCAUACUUUUUAAAAAGAUUAUUAAAAAAAUUCACCAUUCGUUGCAAUUUCGUUAAGUUAUAUAAUCUCUAUCGGGGUCGGACCACUUGUGGUCAACAAGUCAGCGCGUCCUCUUUCUGAGCAGUUCAAACGUUCAAAUAACUAGCCGUUACGGCACUGCCUCUGCCUGCCACGUGGCACACUCAGCAUGACCCCCCAAAGGAAACGGUAAACGGGGAUCCCCAACACCGCCCCCUCGCCUCGCCCUUCGCAAUUCGCAUUCGCAUUCGCAUUCGCACUCGCGCAAUAGAGCGAAAACCGCUCUCCGCGUAACCGAAUAUUCCGAUCGAGAUUCGAACCCUCGCCCCAUGGAUCCGCCCGUCGAUCAGCCCCGGAAGGCCAAAUCCGACGGCCCACAUUCGCCCGACGGCGCCCCGUUACCCUCUCCGGCCCCUACUCCCUUAGAGGCCUCCGAAAACGUCCCAAAGCCCCGGUCGCCGCCGUCCGAUCUCCCACCGACGGCGGAUAAGGCCGCCACGUGGGGCCCUCCCGUCACCGCCAUGCCGAUGGAGUCGAAUCCCUACGUCGCCCCCUCCCCCGUCCACUCCUCGUCCAAGAAGCGUAAUUUUUCUAUUUUAUUAUUAUUAUUAUUAUUAUUAUUAUUAUGGAUUAGUAGAUACUACACCGAUUCGAAUUUAAAUUAUUAUAUUUUUAUUUAUUUUUUUUUUUUAAAAAAAAUUGUUUAGAUACGAUGGAUACGGUGAAGAAUGUGUUAGCUCGAUGGGGGAAGAAGAUUGGGGAUGCGGCAAAGAAGACCGAGGAUUUGUCGAAAAACACGUGGCAGCAUUGUAAGCAUUCGUGAUCUUAGAUUAGAUGACUAUUUGUCUGAGAAUAAUAAGUCUCUGCUUCUUCCUUCUAUUGGUGUUAUAUAUACUCUUCUUUGUGGUGAUUGAUCCUGCUGUUAUGGUUUAAGGUUGUAGUUUGUAGGAUUCAGACUUGUUGGACGGUGGCCUUGUUCUUAAUCUUAGUGCUUUGAAUAAUUUUUCGGAAGUAACAUUGAUGUGGGCUAAAUUUUGUUUUUUAGUCCUCAAACUAGUUAGUUAAAUACUGCUGUGAGCUAGUGUUGUAAUCGAUAAUGUCGCAAUUACUAAGAUAGGAAGUUUUGAGGAUUUUUAGCUCGGAAUAAGAAAUGAGCAGCAACAAACAGAGAUGUCAAGUGCUUACAAUGAAUUAAUGUUGGCCAUGUUCUUUUGAUUUUAACGGUUGGACGAAGAAACAAAUUUUCCAUGUUUCAGCAAUUGCAUCGAGGAGUAUUAUUUGCAACCUAACUAGUAUUCCGAAUAUUUGUUCCGACGCAAAGUGAUACUCUUUUCAAAUCCAGUGAGGACGGGACCCAGUUUUGCCGAUGCCGCCAUGGGGAGAAUAGCCCAAGGAACAAAAGUUCUAGCAGAAGGCGGUUAUGAAAAGAUCUUUCGGCAGACGUUUGACGCGCAACCUGAGGAGCAGCUUAGAAAGUCUUACGCAUGCUACCUAUCGACAUCCGCCGGCCCCGUGAUGGGGGUUUUAUACCUCUCCACGGCUAAACUCGCCUUCUGUAGCGACAAUCCUCUUUCGUACAAAGCUGGGGAUCAAACCGAGUGGAGCUAUUAUAAGGUAUCGGCCUCGCGGCUUUUUCUUUCCUGCAUGCACUUCAUGGUCACCAACUGUUUAGAUUUGUGUACAGUUUUAUUAUUUUAUAAGACUGACCAAGUAAGCAACUUGCGCAUAUCACACAACUACUUCCUAGCUACAACAGAUGGAUAAAGGAAUAAUCUGUAUGUAAAGUUGUUUUUUGAAUACGUCUUUGUUAAAUCUGGUCGCCAUCUAUUUAAUUUCAAUGUCAUAAUCUUCUGAUUUGUUAAUGCGGGUCAUGUUAUUUUUUUCCUUAUGAUAAAAGAAAGGACUGCACCAUCCAAGUUCAGCUAUGUACUGAAAGAGUCUAGACAGAAGAGAGAGAGUGAUUUUAUUCUGCAAUCGACCAUGGUUAUUCUGUUAAGUAAUGCAAUAGUUUUGAAAGAUAUAUCUUUUCUGUGAUUAUGAUUGCAUGUUUCUUAAAGCAUGGGAUAAAACUCGUUGAAAUCACAGCUCUAGAUCCUACUUAUUCGUGAUCAGUCAUGAAGCUAGUUCGGCCUUUCAAGUUUCAUUCUCAGCUUUAUGUGUUUGAAGAUUGUAAAUACGCAGCAGCUGCUCUUUGUUGUUUGCAAAUUUCUUGCUUCUCUUUCCUUUUACUUUGUUAUCUCGUUUUAAUGGCGAAUGAUAUGUCUAGCAUAUGUAAUUCGAAGUCGCUUUCUCCUUGAAUACAAAACAGGUGGUUAUCCCUUUACGUCAGCUAAGGGCAGCUAAUCCUACGGGUAGUAAAGUGAAUUCCGCGGAGAAGUUCAUUCAGAUCGUCUCGGUGGACAACCAUGAGUUUUGGUUUAUGGGUUUUCUGAACUACGAUAGCGCCGUAAAGAACCUUCAAGAAGCUUUGAUUGCCACGCAGAAUGAGCAGCCUUAGAGAUUGAUGGCUUUGGGGUGAUCUUCAGGGUGAUUUCCGCAGGUCGCCGAAGAAUUCCUAUUAUAUAUAUAUAUAUAUAAUACCAUGCUACAUUGAAUUUAGCUGGAGAACUUCCAUCUGUUAUAACCAUUGAUUGUUUCACUUAGUAGAUUUGUGCCACAUUUGUGGUAUGAUAUUCUUUUACCAUACAAAUAGUUACUUCUCAUUGCUUUGUACUGGUUAAAAUAGUAGUUCUCAAUUGUAAUGCCUAUAUAAUUUAGUCCGUAAAUAUUCAAACAAAAGUGUGUUGUCCCGUUUGCCCAUUACAUGGAAGAUUUGAACUGCUUAAUUUGUGUUCGAGUCCAAUAUUUAAUUGCUUUAACUUGAAAAUUGAUCAUUUAUUUCAGUUGAGUUCAAACAGGAUCAAAAUGUUAUUCUACAACUAACAAAUUGUAGACAAAAUACAAUGUCAACGAACGUAAAAAGCGAAAUGUUCGAAUGAAGAGCAUAGAAACCAGAUGGUAGUAUGCUAUCAUUUCGUUCAAAUUUUGUUAAAAAAAAAUAAAAUUUAAUUAAAGAUGUAAAAGAAUUAGACUUGGAUUUGGAAAUCUCAUAUACUAAUCAUCAAGUUUUUUGCCAUGCAUUUACGUUGGUUAGGGACGCUCGGUUAAUGUAAGAAUAGUUAUUUAGCGCAAUCGACUAAAAAUUUACUGAUCCGUACAUAUUCGAAUUUUCAAAUUCGAAAUUCUAAUUGCUUAUUUGUAUCCUAGCUGGGAAUAGUUUUGGGCUAAUUCAAUGGAUCAUGGAGUGAAGGUUCCCUAAGACAGGGACAGCUGUCCCUAUGUUUACCUGGAAUUUAAAAAUUAAGAAUUAUUAUUGAACAUAAAUAAAAGAUAAAAGAUACCUUCAAAUACACACUGUUUCCUUUGGAAGCCUUUUCCUCUGAUACGUCGGUAUCAACCUUGAGAGCAGCAGUAGCAAGAGGCCCUACUCUUCAUUCGCUUUAAAAAGGUGAAUAUAGCUUCUUCUUUUUUUUUUCUCCUACUACUGUAAUAUUUAUUGUUCAAUACCGCAGAAUAAUUAUUUAUCUGUAAAAAUUUUAUAUAAUAUUUUCGAUAUCGAAUUAUAUAUAUAAAUUAGUUAAUUAUUGUGAAAAUAUAAGACAAUCAUUUAACUCCGAAUGCUGAAGUUACUACAUGGUAUUAGGGUCGAAUAAUUCGAGUUCGAAUUAAGUUCGCAUCUUGGGUCCAUUAAAGUGGAAUGCGACGUAAAAUGCGAGUCGACAUUGCACAAACAGUCCAAAUAUUCUUCUCCAUACACUAUAAAGUAGACAACCUUGCAUAGGAAACACUGGAAAAUUCACCAACCACUGUGGCGCGGGCAUGGACCGAGCACUACGAAGCCAAAAAUGAACCACUAUUCCACUGUAGACUCAAGUGUGGGUUGUUCGAGGCUUCGAGCCAUACCAAGUGACAUGCAUGCAUCUUGACUCUGCUUUUUUUUCUUUUUUCUUUUUUUUUUUUGGAGGGCCAAUUUAAGCUUCAUGCUUGCUCGUUGGCACCCACCCAUUGGCAGGAGAAAUUAUUGCGUGGAACUAGUCCACCACGUCGCCGUGAACCACAUCAAAUUACGAGGCAUUUUCAAGGAUAGGACAAUUUAGUUAGGAUUUUAACGCGCUCCAGUACGUACGUGUUUAGUAUAUAUAUCUCUAGGCAAAUUUCUAUAGGAUCGACCGUUUACAGAGCCUGUUUGAAUGCGUUGACGUGGUUACAGUAGGUAGAUGAAGAGCAUGCUUAGAUAUCGAUAACGCAGAAUAUAUCCUACCUCCAUGUUAUUUUUACAGAAUAAUAAAAAAUGAUCUCACUGAUAAAAUGCAUAUCCUAGUUUUUUUUAAAAAAAGAAAAAGUUGGCACCGCAUUUUAAAACAAACAAAAGAUAUCGAAAUUACGGAUACAAAAGGAAAACAUCACUCAUUCUAUGUGAGUUACUGGGUACGAGAGUCAAUUCUAUAUCUCUUCAAUUUUGUGAGAUCAUCUGUCGAUUGGUUUAAGCUCUCGUAAUGCACCUAUUAUUGUCACAUGGCUUUCAUGUCUAUCAUCAUAGUUAUGAACAAAAGUGUUAAUUAAUUACGCAUGUUUCUAAAUCGUUUCUUGUUCAAUUGAUCAUUUGGAAGGCGCGUAUAUAUAUAUUGCUCUUCGAAAUCCAGGUCUAGGCAAUUAUCAGCUUCUCUUUAAUUUAUAUACUUGGAACACUUUAUGCAUGUGCCUGAGAAGCCAUUCUAUCUGGAAAAAGCAGAUGAGGAAAAGCUCCAAGGAAACAUCAACUCCAGUAUCUUUUACGUGGAAUCCUUCUAUGAGGCACUAAUUAAGAAGCCCCACAUAUACUGCAGGGUGGAAAAGGAGCUCGCACACUUCACCAAGCUUCAGGGGAGAGCAUCUGGGCUGGGGCAUGCCCCAUUCCAUGCCUUAUUUUGCUUUCUCAAAGCGUCCAUGCAUAAAAAGUGCUUAGUGACAAAUUGGUUAAAAAGCAGGAUAAGAAGCCUAGUAAGUGGGUGUGCAUGAUUCGAUCGGUAGUACUACCUACUACUAUACUAUAGUACUGAGAUUAUGGCUUAACUAUAUAUCUUUGCACUGUAAUCUCUGUCUCAUUUAUCUUCCUGUAUUACAAAUUGCGCGUUGGGUCUAUGAAUUAUACUUUAAUUAAUAUUUUACUAAAACAGUUUGGAUAUUACAUUAAUUGUUCCACACUUCAAUAUAUAUCUAGGUUGCAACUCGAAUUAAAACUCGAUGCAAAAUUAGAUAAAAGAGAUCUCCUCUAAUAUUUAUAAUAUUGAAUAGAAGUGAUAAUUUCUACUCAAGUUAUACGAUUCUACUGUACUAAUUAUAGUUAACGGUAUCUACUAAUUAAUUUGUUUAUAUAAAGCUUUACGGCAAAAUUCAAUAAUUAUCCCAAAAUUUUGAAAUUAUUUUCAACAAUAAUAAGGUGCAGGAAGAUAUAUAAUUGACGCAAAUUUUAUUGCAAGAGGACAAUUGAGACGAGCUAGGGCUAAAGUGCAAGAGGAUUUUCUAUUAAUUUAGCCUAAGAUUAGCUAGAUAUGCUACAUUCUUGGGCUCAAGUGGCCUACGCUGGGUCUAGAAAUCUCUACUAUAUAUAUAUGGUAUUAAAUCAAAUAAUUUGACGAUCCUGAGCUACUCGUCUAAUUGAUAUGGUGCGAUCGAGCUAGUGGCCGGUUCUUACAAAUAUAUAUAUGACGGAUCGGCGGAGUAGAUAGAGCCAUAAAAUGUGAUAUGAUGGUUUGUUGCACCCAAAAAAAUUGGCCCUGAGAGGCAUGAGUUAGGUGUAUGGACUCAGAUAGUUAGUGCAUGCAACAAUCGGGAUCAAGGGGCACAUGUCAAGUGUACGAGCUCAAAAGAAUUUCUAAGCAGCACAGAUUAAAAGCGCAUGGUGUUUGAUGAGUUCAGGAUGGCCCAUGGAGAAGAGAGUAGAAAAGCGACUCAGUACAAUGCUUAGAAAAUAAUUAAUAAGAUUGAGUUCAUUUGAAAGUUAAUUAAUUCAUUCGUGUAAGAAAGAGAUAUUAAGAAUUCACAUGUGAAUAGUUGACACGAGAUAAUGAUAGCAUAUGAAUCGUCUCACAUCGGAUAAUUACAAUAGAAUUAAAAUAUAUAUAUAUAUAUAUAUAUAUAUAGCAUAUGAAUCGUCUCACAUCGGAUAAUUACAAUAGAAUUAAAAUAUAUAUAUAUAUAUAUAUAUAUAUAGCAUAUGAAUCGUCUCACAUCGGAUAAUUACAAUAGAAUUAAAAUAUAUAUAUAUAUAUAUAUAUAUAUAGCAUAUGAAUCGUCUCACAUCGGAUAAUUACAAUAGAAUUAAAAUAUAUAUAUAUAUAUAUAUAUAUAUAGCAUAUGAAUCGUCUCACAUCGGAUAAUUACAAUAGAAUUAAAAUAUAUAUAUAUAUAUAUAUAUAUAUAGCAUAUGAAUCGUCUCACAUCGGAUAAUUACAAUAGAAUUAAAAUAUAUAUAUAUAUAUAUAUAUAUAUAGCAUAUGAAUCGUCUCACAUCGGAUAAUUACAAUAGAAUUAAAAUAUAUAUAUAUAUAUAUAUAUAUAUAGCAUAUGAAUCGUCUCACAUCGGAUAAUUACAAUAGAAUUAAAAUAUAUAUAUAUAUAUAUAUAUAUAUAGCAUAUGAAUCGUCUCACAUCGGAUAAUUACAAUAGAAUUAAAAUAUAUAUAUAUAUAUAUAUAUAUAUAGCAUAUGAAUCGUCUCACAUCGGAUAAUUACAAUAGAAUUAAAAUAUAUAUAUAUAUAUAUAUAUAUAUAGCAUAUGAAUCGUCUCACAUCGGAUAAUUACAAUAGAAUUAAAAUAUAUAUAUAUAUAUAUAUAUAUAUAGCAUAUGAAUCGUCUCACAUCGGAUAAUUACAAUAGAAUUAAAAUAUAUAUAUAUAUAUAUAUAUAUAUAGCAUAUGAAUCGUCUCACAUCGGAUAAUUACAAUAGAAUUAAAAUAUAUAUAUAUAUAUAUAUAUAUAUAGCAUAUGAAUCGUCUCACAUCGGAUAAUUACAAUAGAAUUAAAAUAUAUAUAUAUAUAUAUAUAUAUAUAGCAUAUGAAUCGUCUCACAUCGGAUAAUUACAAUAGAAUUAAAAUAUAUAUAUAUAUAUAUAUAUAUAUAGCAUAUGAAUCGUCUCACAUCGGAUAAUUACAAUAGAAUUAAAAUAUAUAUAUAUAUAUAUAUAUAUAUAGCAUAUGAAUCGUCUCACAUCGGAUAAUUACAAUAGAAUUAAAAUAUAUAUAUAUAUAUAUAUAUAUAUAGCAUAUGAAUCGUCUCACAUCGGAUAAUUACAAUAGAAUUAAAAUAUAUAUAUAUAUAUAUAUAUAUAUAGCAUAUGAAUCGUCUCACAUCGGAUAAUUACAAUAGAAUUAAAAUAUAUAUAUAUAUAUAUAUAUAUAUAGCAUAUGAAUCGUCUCACAUCGGAUAAUUACAAUAGAAUUAAAAUAUAUAUAUAUAUAUAUAUAUAUAUAGCAUAUGAAUCGUCUCACAUCGGAUAAUUACAAUAGAAUUAAAAUAUAUAUAUAUAUAUAUAUAUAUAUAGCAUAUGAAUCGUCUCACAUCGGAUAAUUACAAUAGAAUUAAAAUAUAUAUAUAUAUAUAUAUAUAUAUAGCAUAUGAAUCGUCUCACAUCGGAUAAUUACAAUAGAAUUAAAAUAUAUAUAUAUAUAUAUAUAUAUAUAGCAUAUGAAUCGUCUCACAUCGGAUAAUUACAAUAGAAUUAAAAUAUAUAUAUAUAUAUAUAUAUAUAUAGCAUAUGAAUCGUCUCACAUCGGAUAAUUACAAUAGAAUUAAAAUAUAUAUAUAUAUAUAUAUAUAUAUAGCAUAUGAAUCGUCUCACAUCGGAUAAUUACAAUAGAAUUAAAAUAUAUAUAUAUAUAUAUAUAUAUAUAGCAUAUGAAUCGUCUCACAUCGGAUAAUUACAAUAGAAUUAAAAUAUAUAUAUAUAUAUAUAUAUAUAUAGCAUAUGAAUCGUCUCACAUCGGAUAAUUACAAUAGAAUUAAAAUAUAUAUAUAUAUAUAUAUAUAUAUAGCAUAUGAAUCGUCUCACAUCGGAUAAUUACAAUAGAAUUAAAAUAUAUAUAUAUAUAUAUAUAUAUAUAGCAUAUGAAUCGUCUCACAUCGGAUAANCCCCCCACCCCCCAAAAAAAAACCAAAAGAAAUGCAUUGUAGCUGAGGCCUUGUUUGAUAUAUAUAUAUCAAAAAUAAUUUGGAAGCACGAAGGGCUCCGUGAUUCCAGAAGCAUAUCAGCCCGCUAUAUAUAUAUAUAUAUAUGAAUUGAACUAGAAUAUUUUUAAAAGCACCAACCCUUUGGUGUUUCUAAGUUUUUAGUCGUUGGAUCUACACCAUGAUUACUCAUAGCCUUUGGAUCAAAUACUAUUCUACCUACCACCACCUAUAACCAUCAUCUCAACCUCACAUCUCUCCAUCCAAUGGCUAAAAACUCAAAACUACUACCUUCAUGAUGCUUUUAAGAGUAUUCUAGUUCAACUAUAUAUAUAUAUAUAUAUAUAUAUAUAUAGAGAGAGAGAGAGAGAGAGAGAGAGAGAGAGAGAGAGAGAGAGAGGGAGUUUUGCUAGAAUACUAUCGGUAGUAAAUAGCACGGUUUACUACCGAUUUGUUUUCGAUGAUAGAGCUUCUAAAUUGAUAAUCGACACCGUUAAAUAUGAUCUAAACUAUUUAAACUAUUUGGAAAUCAAAUUUACACAUUUUCGAUAUUGUUCUCCUGUCCAUCAAGUGAACAGAAAAUGAAUGGCUGGAAAUGAAUAUACUUCAAAAAGUGAUGAUACAAUUUUUAUAUUUGAAAUCUAGAGUCUAGAUCUUAUUUUAAAUAGUUCAAAGAAUUUUUUAACAAAAAUUUAGUUGAUUUGAACUUUACUAUAUCGUUAACAGAGCAAACGCACUGAAUAUGGCCAUUUAAAAUAUAUUUUGUUGACCUUUGAUCGUUCAGUUAGUGAUGCCAAAAUAUCAUGCAAAUUUGAUUUCUAGAUAUUUAAGUGGUCUACCAUCUGUUCAACGGUGACGAUCAUGCGAUUUGGGAGUAUAUUAUCAUUAAAAUAAACUUCGAGGUAGUAAACUGAGUAGUUUAUUACGAUGAGUAGCCAGUUAAACUUAUAUAUAUAUAGUUAGUAUAUAUAUUAUAGUUAUAUAUAAUUGAGUACGCUAUGCCUUUUAAAAGUACCAAGUAUAUUGGGUGUUGUAGAUUUUAGCCGUAUGCAUAAAGGAUAUGCCGUUUUAGGAUGAUGUGAGCCCUAGGGUUUGAUUGGUGUUGGGAAAUAGAUAAAUCUAUGGUUCGAAAAUGAUCGGAGAUAGUAGAUCUAACUGGUAAAAAAAAUUAAGUUACAGCAAGAUGCGUUGCGUACUGUUUACAAGCGAUCAUCAGAUGGACUACUCUCUCUCUCUCUCUUCUCUCUCUCUUUCUCUCUCUUUCUUCUAUAUAAUAUUAUAUAUAUGAGAUACUAUAUAUUAUACGCUAUAAUAUGUAUAUAUUAUUAUUAUUUUUAUUAUAUAUAUAGUUGAGUGGGAAAUAGUAUCCGGUAGCAACUUUUAGGCGCUCGGUUGCACCAUUCGUGUUUGUUAUAUGAGUGAAGGCUUCAUUAUCAAGUUGCACACGAUCGGUAUCGGUUUGAACAUGAUCUAUACACUUGAUGAGCUUUCUAGCAUAAACAAAUCGUUACAAUCAUUUGGAUCAUGCAAUUGAAUCUAAUGAUCAUAAGGUUUUAAAAUUUGUAAUUUUAUGGUAAGAUAUGAAGGCGUUGGUUCGUUUAACCGGUAUAAACUGAUCCAAUCUAAAUGAUUGUUGGAUGAGAAAUUCUUUUAAAAACUGAUUUUAGAUAAGUCUAUUACUUCGAUCGUUGAUUACAAUUCAAUACUCAAUUAUUUUAAGGUAUUUCAAUAUUCGGAUGUUCUUUUACGCUACUUAUGAUUGACAAGAGAAUAAUAUUGAAAAGUAUAAAAAAUUUGAUUUCUAAUACUUCAAAGUGGGUGGUAGAUCGAUGUUUCAACGGUGCCGAUCGUCGAUUUGAAGGCUCCAUCAGUAAAAAACAAGAUGGUGUGGAAACGAGCCGUUGCUACCGAUUAGAUUAUUCCAAGCUCAACUAUUAUAUAUAUAUAUAUAGAGAGAGAGAGACUAUCGAGAGAGAUCGAACGAGAGAGUGCAGGGUUUGCUGUAUGUUAGGAGCACAGAGGCCUCGGUUGUCUGAGGUUUCGAUGAUGGAAUUUUCGAAUCGAACGAUGGCCAUCGUUAGACUUGAUCUAGUGCAUUUGAAAGUUUUUAGAGAAUCAAUUUUUGCGAUUUUUCAGAAUAUCUUAUGCCUAGUGAUCGAAAGGAGUUCAAAAUACCUAAUUUUUAAUGUUGGAUAAUAUAGCCGUUGUCAAGGUUAACGCUUCUUGUAGUAAGUAUUCAAUCGGGAUUGAAAUUUGAUAGAAAAUUUUUAUUCUAUCUACAACAGAGUCUUAUUUCUGAUCGAAAUUUUUAGUACUAUUACCACUUUUUAUUUAGGAUUUUUAUUUUUCGUUAAAAUUAUUGUUUUGGAAAAAUUCCGUUUCGAUUUGGCUAGGUGAAUGAUAUGAAAAAUCGCAAAAAUUAUUUUCUAAGAAUUUUAACUACGUAGAUCAAGUUUGAACGGCAGUGGCGCAUCGUCGAUUCGAAUACGCCAUCAUCGAAAAAAUGGUCAGGAGCACGGAGGCUCCGUGCCUCCUGAGAGCACAGACAAGGCCUGCGAUUAUAAUUAUAUAUAUAUGAUUAUAUAUAUAUAUAAGAGGAGAGAGGAGAGACGACUUAGAGGAGAGACGGGAUCAGCGAUUGAUAUCUUCGAGAGAGAGGAUGAGUGAGGUUGCCGCUACUAUGUUCCAAGGGGUGUUUCCAUCGUUGCGACUUGCAAAUCGGGUAGCUGAGACUUCUGUUAAUUGGAUCUAGAUAUUUGAAAGCUAUCUCGAAAUAAAUUAUUGCGAUUUUUUGAAUAUUUUGCUAACGACUAAGGGGCUCAAAAUUACGGGUAUCUCGGUGAAAAUAAAAUCUUUAAAACGUGAUUCUAUGACAUUAAAAUUGUAGAUAGAUCAAAGGAUAAUUUAUUUGUUGUAUAUAGUAUUAAAGAUUUCUAUUAAAAUUUUAACAGUGAACUAUUGCAAUAUGUGUUUCUACUGUUAUAACUUUGAAAGGUCACUAACGCCAUUCAACUUAUUGAUUUUGAAGCUUUCGAUCAUAGGAAGUUGAUUAAAAAUAUAAAUUUAUUUUCUAGGGGGAUACUUCAAAUAGCUCUAGAUCAAUUUUGAUGAGGGAGUCGAUGUAUUCGUUCGAAGAGUCGCAAUCGAACGACCUGGAAGGCACAGAGGUCGGUAUUUCAAAAGCAUAAUAGCCCUUCUCUCUCUUCUUCUCCCGUUCCUCUCCUUAUUAUAUAUAUAGUAUUUAGUAGUCUUAUGUGCUAUUAGGAAGCAUGACUCCUCCGUGUCACAUACAGGGUUUAUUCGAUGAUGAGUUUCGAAUCCGACGUCGCUUGACGAGACUUGCUGAUAAAGUGCAACAAUUUAUAUAUUAUGAAGUGUAUAUCUAGAAAAUAAUUUGAUCAUACGAACGAUGGCGAUUUUUUUGGAUAUAUUAACCUACACGACAUCGGAAGAGUUCAAUCAAUGGCUGAAAUAACAAUAUCACAAAAGAGUAGUUGGUGAUUAUAGCAUAAAAUUUUCGUUAAGAUAUUGUUUGCUCUUGUCAAUAGUAUAAUAAAUUUUAGCAAAGAUUUUAUUAUGAUGGUUUUUGUGAAUACUUCGUUACGAUUUAAACUUUGCAAACGGUACAUAAUAUAUUAAAAUGUGCGUUGAUUUUAACCUGCGUCGAUAAGUAAUGAUAUGCAAAAAACUGCAAAUUUAUUUUCUAGAUAUUAAUAGUUGAUUAAAGAUCUAACGAGCGAUCGUCGUUGAAAAUGCAUCUCGAAAACGGUGGAGCACGGAGGCUCGUGUCCUAUUUAGCACCACAAGAUACUACUUUAUUAUAUAUUAUAUAUAGAUAAUAAUAUAGUAUGAGGAGAGCGUGUUAAACGAGCAAACGCACUAUAUCGCCAUUAAACUUUUAAAUUUUGCUGACCCGUUGAUCUUUCAGUGUAGUGAUGCCAAAACAAUCAUUGAAUUGAUUUCUAAGAUAACUUUAGGAUGUGACAGUGGCAGUGCGAGCGGGGUGACGAUCAUCGAGGGGCGGGGGGGGAGAGUUUUUCAUUAAAAAUAAAAUCGGAGGUAGUAAACUGAGUAGUAUUAUUACCGAUAGUAGUCGGCCAGCAACUAUAUAGUAUAUAUAUAUAUUAUAUAUCAUAGUAGUAGUAGUGUGAGGAGUGGGCUUCCUAUGCUUUCUAAAAGUACCAAGUUAUGGGUGGGGUGCGUUGUUAGAUUUUUAGGCAGUUGGGAUAAAGAGGAUGGAUGCGGUGGUUAGGAUGAUGUGAGCGGAGGGUUGAUGUUGGUAGGUUGGUUGAAUAGUAUAUCCUAAUUGGUCCGGAAAGAUUGAUUCGAGAAGUAGUAGAUCUAACGGCUAAAAAAAUUAUAAGCACAAGAUGCUUUGGGUACUUUGUUACAAGGCACCAUAGCUGGCGACUCUCCUCUCUCUUCUCUCUCAUCUCGUCUUCUCUCGUACUCUCUCUUAUAUAAUAUAUAUAUAUAAUAGUAUAUUAUAUAUAUAUAUAUAUAUAUAUAUAUAUAUACAGUAUAGCUUGAGCUGGAAUACUAGGCGGUAGCAAACUGGUCCGUUGCACCAUUUUUUUUAUGAUGAAGGUCUUAAUUGACGAUCGGUAUCGUUGAAACAUGGAUGCGGUAUACCACUUUGAAGUAGUCUACGAACACAUUCAAAAUCAUUUGGACAUCAUUGUUCUGAAUGAUCAAAGGUGUUUUAAAAUUGUAAUUUUAAUGGUAGAUAUGAGGCGUUUUCUCGUUUAACGGUUUAAACUAUCCAAAUCGAAUUGAAUUUUCGGGGAGGAAGAGUGUGCUGUUGAGAAGUUGUUGAGAGAGGAAGAUCUAUACUCGUGCGAUGUGUGGAGUGAGCGGAAAUUUCCUACCAUCAUUUUUUAGAGGCAAUUCAUUUCAGCUGUUCAUGGUUGUACGACCUACUUAGGUGCGACGAAGACGAAUAAUAUUUGAAAAAUGUAUAGAAAUGUGAUUCUGAUACUUCAAGUGGUGUAGAUCAUGUUCAACGGUGCCGGUCGGUGCGAGUGUGGAGAGGCGUGCAUCAUUAAAAACAGAAUGAGUGGAACGAGCCGUUUGCUACGAGUGAGUAUUGCCGAUGGGGGGCGGGACUAGUAGGUAUAUACUAUAUAUGUGGAUCAGAGAGAGAGCCCGGCGACUUUGGUGUGGCAAGCCGGCCGUGGAACGCGAGCGGCCGACGGAUAGAGAGAGGAGAGAGAGCAGGGUUGCUUGUACUCUCAGUGAGCACAGAGGCCCCUGCUCGCUGAGCGUUUUCGAUGAUGGAAUUUUCGAAUCGGACGAUCGCUCCGUUAGACUUUGAUCUAGCGCAUUUGAAGUUUAGAAAAAUAAGUUUUGCGAUUUUUCGAUAUCAGUUUACCUAAUCGAUCGAAAGGAUUCAAAAAUCCAUAAUUGUUAAUGGUUUGAUAUACUGCCUUUUCAAGUUUAACGGUUGGUAGAAGUAUGUCAAAUCAGAUGAAUUUUGAUAGAAAAGUGGCGCGUGUGAUUCUAUCUUACAAGAUCUAUAAUUUUUGAUCGAAGUGUUUACGUACUUAUCAUCACCAUUUUUAUAGGAUUCGGUUUAGUUUCAGCCUUGUUAAAAUUAUUGAUUUUUGAAUCCGUUUCGAUUGCUAGUAAUGUAUCGAAAAAUCGCAAGAAUUAUUUUCUAGAAAACUUUUAAAUACGCUAGAUCAAGUUUAAACGGAGACGCAUCGUCGAUUCGAAAACUCCAUCAUCGAGAAAUGGCUCAAGGAGCACGGAGGCUCCGGCCCCUGCGCUGAGGCCACAGCAGCCCUGCUAUAUAUAUAUAGGAUUAUAUAUAUAUAUAUAUAUAUAUAGCAGAUGAGGGAAGAGAUGAGAGAGAGAGAGAGUAGAGAGAGAGAGAGUGAGUGAGGCUACUAUGCUUCCAAGUCGUUUUCCACGUUCGGGACUUUGCAAAUCGUCGAUCGCUUGUUAAACUUGGAUUAGAGUAUUUGAAGUAUCUAGAAAUGAAAUUUGCGAUUUUUUUCACUAUCAUUUGCCUAACGACGCCUUAAGGGGGCUCAAAAUUGAACGGAUGUAUUUAUGGUGGAAAAUAAAAGGUCUUAUAAAACUGAUACUAUGAAUUAAAAUUGUAGAUCUCAAAGAUAUGUUAUCUUGUUUUAUAUUAGUAUAAAGAAUUUUCGAUUAAAAUUUUACAGUGAUUUGAAUAUUUUAUACUGUUAAACUUGCAAACGGCUCACUUACGGCCAUUACAAUUAUUGAUUUUGAGCCUUACUUCGUCACUAGGCAAAUGAUAUUAAAAAAAUAUUAAAAUUUAUUUUCUAGAUACUUCAACUACUCUAGAUCAAAUUUAAUGGAGCCGAUCGCCAUGAUUCGAAAGUCGCAACAUCGAAAAACGACCUGGACACGGGAAGGCCUCGUAUUUCAAAAGCAAAUUGCAUUCUCUCUGGUCUCUCUCUCUCUCUUGCUCUUCUCUCUAUAUAUACUCUAAUAUAGUAAGUAGAUCUGUAUGUGUGCCUAUAGGAGAUGAAGCCUCCGUGCUCCUAAGCCGUUUUCAUGAAUGAGCUUUCGAAUCGCGAUGCAGGUUCGUUAGCUUUGAUCUUAGCGUAUGUUAGAAGCAUAUAUCACUAGAAAUAAAUUUUGCGGAAUUUGUUUUUCGAGUUCAUUACCUAACGAUCGAAAGAGCUUCAAAAUCAAUGGCCCCUGAAAAUAAAAGUAUCACGAACAAGUGGUGAUAUAGCACUAAAUUUCGAUUCAGAAGAUAUUAAUCUUGCUCAUGUAAAUGUUAUAAAUAAUUAUUUAGCAAAGUUUUAUCUGAUUUGAUGAAUAUUACUCCUACACGUAAACUUGCAACGGCUACAUCAAUAUGUUAAAAUAUUGUUGAUCUUUAAACCCUUGCUCAGAUCGAUAGGUAAAUUGAUAUCAAAAAAACUGCAAAAUUUAUUUUCUAGAUACUUAAAAUACGUUAGCAUCAAGUCUACGAGAGCGAUCGUCGAUUUCGGAAAAUCCAUCAUCAAAACGCUAGGACACGGAGGCUCCGCUGCUCCUAUAGCACACAAGACCUAAUAUAUAUUAUUAUAUAGAUAUACUAUACUAUUUAUAGAGAGAGAGAGAGAGAGAGAGAGAGGCUGGUAUACUAUCGGUAGCACGGAAGCCUCAGUGCUACCAAGUUGUUUUCAAUGAUGCGGCUUCCAAAUUGACGAUCGGCUCCAUUAGACUUGAUCUACACUAUUAAAAAUAUUUGGAAACUAAAUUUCAUAAUUUUUCGACAUCAUUUGGCUAGUGAUCAAAAGGUCUCAAAAUUGACAAUUUUAAUGGUAAAUGUGAUGCGUUUAUGAGUUUAAUGGUAUAAAACAAUCUAAAUCUGAUGAAAUUUUUAUAAAAAUUUUUUUUCACUAUUUAGAGUAAGAUCAUCACCUCCGAUCUUAAAUUUAAGUAUUUUAUCAUCAUUUUUUAUGAGAUUUUUAUUUUCAACCGUUCAUUUUUAGACUAUUCGUUUGAUAGGUAAAUGAUACAGAAAAAUUAUGAAAUUUAGUUUUCAAAUAUUUUUAAUAGUGUAGAUCAAGUCUAAUGGAGCUGAUCGUCGAUUUGAAAGCCGCAACAUUGAAAAAAACAUAGUAGCACGGAUGCCUCCGUGCUACCGAUUGUAUACCACUCUCGCUCUCUCUCUCUCUCUCUCUCUCUCUCUCUCUCUCUCUCUCUAUAUAUAUAUAUAUAUAUAUAUAUAUAUUAAACAUAAAUUUUAUAUAAUUUAUUGUAUUGGAGAAAAUGUUUUCCUUUAUUAUUAAGUUGGUUAGCGUACAAUUACUACAACAGAAUUAGAUUAUACAGAUACAUUCUUUGAACACUUUUAUAUAUAUUUGGGACACUUUUAUAUAUAUAAGUGACCUAUUUAUACCAAAACUUUUUUUAAAAAUUUAUUAAGGCCUAAUUAUAAAACCCAAUCCAAUCAAAAAUAAAAAAUUCCUCUAUUCAACUAACCAUACCCAACCCACUCGGCCUAAUUACAAAUAAAAUAGGAAGAAAAAAAAAAUGAUCACCAUCUCCCCUUUUCUUCCUCCGCCGCCGCAGCCGACGACGUAGGAUUCCGACGGCUAGAGUUCGGUCGCGAGAAUCUCGUAGGGACCGUAGAGGGCUAUGAUCGCCAUGUAUCCCUCGCCACAGGUCGCUGAAGAAGUGGAUGCCAAAUAUCAAGGCGACCUAUAGCGACCUCACAUAUUACAAUACUUUUAAAAAGUGUUGAUAAUUUAGCCAGUAGUACUUUUUUGACCUGUACCGAUAUUUAAAAGUAUCGUUAUACACAACUUUUGUUAUAGUGAAUCAAUCCAGCUAGUGGUAGAGAUAAUUUAUUUAACAGAAUUAAUUUUGGAAGCUUACAAAAUAGUUAUUUUUUUAUUUUUAUUUUUUGUUGCUCAGUAAAGAUUUUGGAUGAAAAAAUUACAAGCAAUCAACUGUUUAUUCUUACAAAUUUUGAUAUAAAACAUUUUACUUUAAAAAAAAUAAACAUGGUAUCAAAUGAGUAAUUACCUAAAAAAAUGGGCUAAUUUAAUAGCUCUCACUAGUAUUCAGCUUAACAUUGUUUGAUUUCACUAAUAGCAUAUGGCCAGUACCCUAUUUGAUUUCAUCACUUUUUUAAUCAAAAUAAAAUAUAUAUAAUUGGAUAUGCUAAUCGAUAGAUUUCUUGUUAUGCGUCCUAAAUUUCAAAUGUUGUCUCCUUAAAAAAACAGAAAGAAGAAAAAAAAUUUUAAAAAAAUUAAUUUUUAUUUCCCAUUUCCAAACAAACUCUACAAAUGUAUAGAUUGUGAACAAUUUGUUACCAACCAAACCAGCGCACUCCAUUAUAUAUAAAUUUUACAUUUAAAAAAAAACAUUUAAAAGAUAAUAUCAAUACUUAAUUUCUUAAUUUAAUUAAAUAUAACAAUUGAAAUUAAACUGAGAAGCACAUAAAUUAAAGUAAAGAGGAGUUCAAACACAGAAAUUUAACUAGAUCGGAAGCCAAUUUAAAAAAUUGGUCCUUUUCGUAGGGAAGGGAGAUCAAGUUCGGUCCACAAGCCACGCGGUAGACCAUUUCCAGCUAAUUUAUACUUUUGUCAGGAGGGACUAUAUGGUGGACCAUAUACGCCAGACCCAUUGAUUAGCUAUUAUAUUCCAACUGACCAGGCCACGCCCGGGUCAGAACCCACACUAGCUCAGGCCCCCACUCCACAAAACAAAAUCAUAAAACACCAAAAAAAAAAAAAAAAAAAAAAACUCUCGCACUCAACCAAUAAAUGUAGCACACUCUCUCUCUCUCUCUCUCUCUCUCUCUCUCUCUCUCUCUCUCUCUCUCUCUCUCUCUCCAUAUGUGUGUGUGUGUGUGUGUGUGUUCAUUUCAACGACCACUUCAACUAAGUUGUACCUGCGAAUCCGCACGAAGAUCGCACUCAUCCAUCUCUCAAGCCCAAUUCUUAUGUUUUUUCUCCGUCACCAUCCACCAUAUAUAGAAGACCAAACUGGUACAUGUCUCCCUCUCAUCGCACAGAGGAUAUCGGACAUUUAAACAAACAGGUAUUUUCCCGAGUUCGUAGUGAAACUAGGAAGAAGAGUACAAAGAAGACGACGAAAAAAAAAGAUGAGAAUAUUGUAGCUAGCUAGUGUUGUUAUUAAAGUUAUCAUCUGAACAUUAAUGGUGAGGAACUGCACCACACUACCCACGAGAGAUGAUGACAUAUGCAAUACUAGUCAUAAAUGCAUACUAGUAUAAGCCACAGAGAGAGAGAGAGAGAGAGAGAGAGAGAGAGAGAGAGAGAGGAAGUUCUCUUGACUCCUCCUUGCAUUGCCAACAUUGAAAAAAAAGAAAAAGAAACUGCAUAUAGAUGAAAAAAAGAAAAAGAAACUGCAUAUAGAUGAGGCUAAGUUUAAAAAAAAAAAAAAAAAGGGAAAGUUUGAGGUCAGCGCCAUGUAAUUAAUUUCAUGUACUGGAAAUAAAAAAAAAAAGAGAGAAUGAGAAAGAACUCGCAUGCUUCCGCAUUAAAUUACUAUCCUAGGAACAUGUUAUUGCACCUCUCUAUCUUUCUAUCAUUAAACUUAGAAAACAUUGCAAGAGGAAGAAGAAACUAGAAAUUAAGCAUUUGUUGUUGUAGAACAAAGGGUGGGCACCAAUAAAUUAAGAACAUACAACAUGCAUACAAGAUGCACCAAAACACUACAAAUGCUUGUUAGAGAAGAGAAGAGAAGAGAAUAGCAUGAUGACGAAAGUUUGAGAAGAGAAGCUCUACAACACAAAAGAGAGGGAGAGAGAUAGAGAGAGGGGAUGGAAGAGGCGAAUAUAACAGUGCCACAAAGGACUCUUAUCCCUACCACUCCAUGUCUCUUUGAUUCUCCCUUCUCACAUGAACUAGGUUCGUAGUAAAUUUAUUCCCUUCACCCUCUCUCUAGAUCUCUCUCUCUCUCUCUCUCUCUCUCUGUGUCGAAUCAAAACAAAAGGAAAGAAACGAACAAUGCAGUUAGCCAGAACAACUCAGUGGCACAUUAAUUACCAAAUGGCCAACCUCCUUCCAACCAGCAUAUCCAUUACAACAUCACAUAACACAAAAUCCAACCUGAUCCCUAGCUAGCUAGCUAGCUACUCCCUAACAAAAGAACUACAACAUCACAAAAGAAAAAGAGAAAAAGGGAAAAUAAAAUAAAAAUAAAAAUAAAAAUAGAAAUAAAAAACAUGCUAGACCCCCGCCCUCCUCCCAUAUAUAAUAAUAAUAAUAAUAAUAAUAGAGAGAGAGAGAGAGAGAGAGAGAGAGAGAGGCCAGGGAAGGGCAUUUAAUUGGUUUGUAGCGGGCCGGAGGGAGGGUGGUUAAUGAAUUAGGGUUUCUUACCGAGGGUGUGCUUGUUGUUGUGCAUCCAGACCUUGAGGACGUGGCGCUUGAUGCAGGCGUCGGUGCAGAACUGCUGCACGGCCGCCUCGUCGUGCUUCUGCAGCCGCCAUCCGACCCGCUCGGCGAACGCCAGCAUCUUGUCCUUCUGCUCCUGCGUGAACUUGGUCCGGAACCUCUUCUUCCCGGACGCCCCCCCGCCCGAACCCGACGCCGCACCCGCACCCGCCCCCGCUCCCCCGCCCCCCAUCAUCAUCAUCAUCAUCAUCGCCGGGUUCGACACGUCCUCCCCCUCCUCCCUGCCGCCGCCAGACGUCGACGGCAGCGCCAGCGCCGGCGGAGGAGGGGGCGCGCGGUGCUGCUGCCCGGCGGCGGAGGCGGAGAUCUGCAGGUGCGGAGGCGGCUGGUGGAGGUAGCCGGCCGGGGUGCGGUAGUAGGGCGAGAACUGUUGGUGGUGGUGGUACUGGUACUGUAAGGCGGCGGCAGCGGCCGUCGGCAGUGCGGCGUCGGUGAUGGCGGCGGCGGAGUCGGGGGACUCCUUGCGGUGGAAGUUGCGGUGGCAGCUGCAGGCCGCGCAGCGGAGGGCGUCGAGCGUGCCCUCCUCCCCCGCCGCCAUGAACUCCCCGCACCCGUCCACCGCGUGGCCCCCGAUCCCCACCGCGUGGUUCUUCAAGCACUCCCGAUACCUCCCUCCCCCACCCCCUGCGCCCGUCAUCUUCCGGUUAAUAAUAAUACUCGACCCCCCCGGACCCCCCUCCGCUCCCCCACCGCCCCUCCCCGACGCCGCUCCUCCGCCCUGAUCUUCUCUCCGCGAAUUCCCCGCCCCGCUCGGGCCCUCGUAGCUCGACCCCGCCGCGGCCACCUCCAUCUCCCCCUCUUCUUCUUCCUCCUCCUCCUCCUCCUCCUCUUCUUCUUCUUCUUCUUCUUCCUCCUCCUCUUCUUCUUCUUCUUCCUCCGCCUCGUCGUGCUCCUCGAACUCCAUUCCGCCGCGGAUCAGCUCCUCCCCCGCAUCCGUCCCCCUCCCCCGCGAUCACCGGUAAGAUCUCGCCAUCCUCCUCUUCAAUCUCUCUCUCUCUCCCUCUUUUUCUUUCUUUUUCUCUCCUUUUCUCCCUCUCUCUGUGUCUCUCUCUCUCUCUCUCUCUCUGUCUCUGUCUCUCUCUCUCUCUCUAUUUUGUGCGCUGGGUUAAUUUUAGCGCGAGGUUAAGGAAGGGGAUAAGAGAAAUAAGGAGAGUGUGGACGCUAUCAAUUUGGCGCACCGCCCUGCGUGCGAGCUUUAGUGAUGAUACAAAACACUCUCUCUCUCUCGCUCUCUCUCUCUCUCUCUCUCUCUCUGUCUCUCGCGCUCUCUCUCUCUCUCGCUCUCUCUCUCUCUCUCUCUCUCUCUGUCUCCCGCGCUCUCUCUCUCUCUCUACUCUCACUCUCUCUCUCUCUCUACUCUCUGCUCUCUGAAAGCUAGUUGCUUUCCUACUCUCUCUCUCUCUGGUCGCUAUCGCUUCCUCCCGGUCUCCGCAGGCCGGGUUGACCGGAUACUCCCGGUACAAGAGCAUAACCUUACUUACACGCUCCGUAAUAACGACGAUGCUCAUUACUGCAUUAAGAUCCACAUAUUAUAAGUGGUAAACAUCACAUAAUUUUCUUCUCUUCUUUAUCAUGUUGCGCCUAAUUCGUGUGAUCAUUUGCCAGUUUACUGUACGUAUUAGCAAAAUAUCACGUCAGAAUUAAAUAAAUAUCUAAACUAAAAUAAUUAACUGACGAAGAAAACUAUUUGUUAAUUUUCCAAGACCUUAGUUAUGCUGUAUGUUUUGUCGUGAUGUGUACAUAAUUAUUAUUAGAAGAAUUAUGUAUCUACUUUUUUUUUUGGUGUUCUAGAAAUUUAUGAUAGAAAUUAACAUCUUUAAAAAUAGGAGCAAGAACACUCAAAUGAAAAAACAAAACAAAAAAAUAAAAACAAAAACGAACUAGUGAAGACGUACAAUUUCUAACGAGACAUCGUUCAAUUUAUUGUUGAUGCAAUUGUGAGAUUCGUAUCAUUUAUGUGAUGAAUGAAAUAUGAGGCGGUCUCACUUUCAACAUAAUCCCAAUCAAAUUUUGAUUUGAUAAAGACAAUAAGUUGACUUUCACUUUCCUAUUUGACACGCAAAACUUAAAUGUGAAAACAAUGCAACAUAAGUAAGUAAACUGCACCGAUAAUAAAUUAGCUGACUUUUAACUAGUCGUUGGCAUCAAGACAAGUUUAAUAAAUUAGAAAAGCAGUAGGCAAAAUUAUGAUGGGAAAAAAGUACAAAAUGUUUCUGAUAAUAUAUAAGACUAAUGUUAGUGAUCAUACAAUAUAGAAAAACGGAGCUGAUUUUGAUAUUAUCAAAAAAAAAAUCUAAAUUAUAAUUAGAUUAGAUCCAAUAACAACUCUAGUAAUAUCAAAUUUAGCUUUGAAAGUAUACAUUACGUAUAGAAAAACUUAUAAUUUUUGGCUCUAACGUUGGUUCGUAGUAUUAAGAAAAAAAAAAAAAUCUUUUCUUUCUUUCUUUCUUUCUUUUUUUUUUUNCCCCCCCCCAAUCCCUCUCUUUUUUUUUCAUAUUAACAGCUCUUCAACUUUUAAUUUUUUUAAAUUAAAUAGUUUUAGCCAAUUAAUUAUGAAUUUAAAUAAAUUUAUCGAUGGAUUUAUCAAAAUUAAUAUGGUUUAUUAUUUUUAGCAAAUAAAAUUAGAUUAAUUGGCUGCCGAUAGCAAAUAAAACUAAUAAAUUUAAUGAGAUAUUUGUUUUUAGAUAAAUAUAAAAUUAAAAAUUAAAAAAAUUAAAUUAAGAGAGUCUCAAUCACACUAAAAAUAAAAAAAUAAUACUAUAUGUGCACACAAAAGUGUAUAUAAAUCUUGCAUUUUAUUUAUCCAAAGAUUGCUUUUAUUAUACUAGUCUCUUUUCAUUUUAAUACUAAAAUUUAAAUAAAUUAUUUUAGUUAGAUGAAUAGAGCAUAAGAUUUAUACUAUAAAAAAAUAAAUAGAUGAGAUAUUCAAAUGUGUUUCCUAAAAAUAAAUAAAUUUAAAACAUUCAAAAUUUACUUGAACAAGUGACCAUUCUGAAUCGGCUAUCAAACCUUUUAAAAUUUUGAUUUUACUAUUUAAGUCAAUCAAUGAUAUUUCGACUUAAAAUUUUUAAUGUAUUAUUUAUUUUUAUAGAUCUAAUAAGUAUAUUUUUAUGCAAUUCUCACAGCUAUAAAUUUAUUAAAGUAAUUAUAUUAGGUUAAAUUAAUUUUGUAAUCAAAAUAACAUUAACUAACUCAAAUUGAAUAAGUAGAAAGAUUAAAUAAUAAACUAAAUUUUUUUAAAAGUUACAUAAUCGUAUCAAAAUAAUUUGUAAUUUAGAUGAGUUAUUUAAGUUUUCACCAUAAAAAUAAUAAUAAUAAUAAUAAUAAUAAUAAUAAUAAAGUUGUUGGGCAUUUAAAGGGACUCAGGGAUACGUGAGUGGGUUCUCCGACAUGCGUGACGCUACUGCAGGCGUCAACAUGCAUUUAAUGUAAGCCGUGUCCGAAAAAGAAAAACCAACUUCCCCUCUUCCUUAUUAUUCCUUCCUUCCUUCCUUCCUUCCUCAAGGAAUGGAAAUGGAUCUACUACAAUAUUGUUCUCUCAUCAUCAGUUUACUUCAUCUUUAGCUCUUAUAUUUAUAUGCAAUAAAUUAGAUAAAAAUAUUCUUUGUGAACACGUUCUUACGUUCCCCCAGAUGAUGAGGCAAAUGCAGUGGAUGCAAGCAAUAUCCUACUUCUUAUGAAAUAUUUAGGGACCGUUUGAUUGUAUUCAAUUGCAACUACACUGCAGUUAUAACUGUACAUAAACGUAAAUUCGGUAUUUAAUUUAAAGUAUUUAACUUCAACUUCUGCAGUUGAAACUACAGUAGAAGGUCCAAAUACAGCAAUUAGAACUAUGCCCAAAUUAAUAUGCUUACCUCUUUAUUUAUUUUUGAAAAAAAAAAUAUUUUUUUGUUACAUUGAAAGUAAUCUCACCAUUAUAUAUAUAAUGAUAAAAUUUUAAAUAAAUUAUUUAUAAUUGUAUUGCUUUUUACUAUAUCGAAUCAAACAAGAUGUAUAAAGUUGCAAUUGUUAUAUUUUCAAUUGCAUAUAUCUCUAACUACAUUGCAUUUUUAAUUACAUCAAAUCAAACAGUCCUUUAAUUUGAAAACACGAUGGAAAAAUUAGUAGUUGACACAUGCGAUUUAUCACAAAAUAAGUUAUUCAAUAUUUCUGUAUUCUUAGAUAUAAGAGAAACUAUUCAUCCUUAUUAUUAUCUAUUAUGUAUAGUGUAUCUUUCGAGCUUGAAGCCUAGAAGUUAUAGUUUUUAAAGCAGAGAUCUCCAACUUCACAAAACAUAACUUUGCUACAAUACUAGGUAAAUUCAAAUUUUUAUAAUAUUUAUUUGGUACAACCUAUGUAACAUUAUAAUUUGUUUAUAUUAAGUUUUGAAUUCAUUCAACAAUCAUCUUGAAAAUUUAAACUCGUUUGAGACAGAGAUAAUGCACAAAUUAGAAUCUAAGGUGUCCAAAAUAUAGGGUAAUGAAGGGUAGUAAAAGAGCGCGUGGUAGUUUAUGUAAUUAAACCUUUGUUCUUUACUAUACACACGAAUCCCAUGUAAUUGUUUCGUGUACGUAUAUAAUCGUGAAUAAAGUUUUUAUUGCAAUAAUUAUGCCACAAAGCCAUUCAAAGAUAUUAUACUAAUUUUAUGUUGAAAUAAGUGUAAUUCUUUUUUUUUAUAUAUUCAUGUGCAGUAAACAGAAGAACAAUGUUACUUGCACAUCUUACACUCUAAUUUCUCAAACGCUCAAAUUCUACUCACUUAUCUUAUCUAUUCCUUUUAAAUGCCAAUUUUUUUUUUUAAAAAAAAACUCUUUAAUAAUAGGAUGUAAGUUGUAUAUUAUAUAAUAGAGUGUACAAAAGCAAUUUUCUUGUGAGAAAGAUCUUUGAUUUGAUAUUUACUGUUACUUUGUUUAGAAUAUUGUAAUUUUCAUGUCACUAUCUGGUGCGAAUAAAUCGUCAUCAAGUUGACCCGUAUUUUUCUGAUUGACCACUUAAGUCCAAUCUAAUCUGCUUUGCCCACUUAAAUAAAUGUUCAUUCAAUGGGGCUUUGUCCAUGUCCAUCUCUAUCUACAGCAAAAACCAAAAAGAAAUAAAAUUUUUUGAGUCUUAAAAAAGGGUGUUAUUUAUCUACAUGAUGAAUAAUCCUGUUUCCACUCUUAAAUUGUGUCCAAAGUGUAAGAUUUUUCCCUUGCUUGCUCACGUGGCACGCACGUGUCUCCACCUCUGUGUAACUGUAACCUCCUCUUGUGUGUAUAUGAUAUGAUGAUUAUCCAAUUAUGGAAGUAGGAAUUUUGGGGCUUUUUGGGGAAUUUCUCAUCAUGGAAAAGCUUAAUGGUCCCUGCAUGGAGGAUUUGGACUGUUCCAUAUAUUACAUGGAGAGUCCAAAAGGACCAAAACUAAGCCUUAUCCGUGGUUAAAACCUUAUCUUUGUGGAGGGGUUUAGGCACCACAAAUAGCAAUUCUUGCUAAUCCAAAUGUGGGCCUCGUAUACCACCGAAUUGUUUCUGGGUUUUUUAACAUGGAUACCGACUAAUUGUUGCAUCCAAUUGGUCCAAAUUAUCUAAAUGGGACCACUAUGGAUAGGUAUUAAAAUAAUAAUAAUCGAUAAUUUUUAUUAAAAAUAAAUUAGACGGUCCCAAAUGGUCACUACGAGAAAAUCUCAAUAUAAAAACGUUUUUUAGACGAUACUUGGGUGAAAUAUCUCCAAACGUCCCUACAAUGUAGUAAAUACCGACGCUUUAAAAAGUAUCGUCAUAUGAACCUUCUAUUAUAUCAAACUAAUUUAUUAACUGAUAAAUUUUACUAUUAUAUUUUUAAAUUAUUAAUAUUUUAAAACAUCAAAAUAUAAUUUAUCGAUGCCCGGCAUAAGUGCUGCUAUAUACGUAGCGACUCUUCAUUUAUCAACGUUUUCAAAUGUGACGCUUUUAAGCAUCGAUAAAUAUUAAAAAACAAUGUCAAUUAUUAAUUUUCUUAUAGUGAGAGUAGAGAUGGGUCAAUUGGGUCUUGUGGAAGUUGAAACUUGGUGGGAAGUGGUAAUAGGGCAAAGUAUAAAAUAUAGAAUCAAACAAAAGCCACAAACUAUGCCGUUAAGUGUUUGUUAUUAUAGUCCUUAAUUACUCAGGUGGGGGACUUGUAUUAAAUGUAAAUAUUAAAUGAAUCGUUUGUAUCAAUUGUUUAUUUAUUUUAUUUUUUUUAAGAAAUUAUCGUUUUACAUAAUCUAACAUAUAUAGUAUAAAAAUAAGAAAAAAAUUUGAGUUCAAAUCCGAUCAAAUUAAAUUUUAAUUAAUUUUCUCUCAACUUACACUCGAGGAAAGUGUUAGAUAUAAUUAAAUAUGAAUAAUACCAUCCCGAGAGAGAGAUUCUUAAAGGUAAAUUAAUUGCACCAGGGUUCAAUUUAGUUGUUAUGUCUCUUAUAAGGUAGGUUCAUAUUAUUAUUAUUUGUUAUUAUUUGCAAUCUAGUUCUCUCGUUUGAAAUCUUAGCUAAAUUUAAUUGGAUGCCUUUCUAUUUAAACAAUUGGAAAUUUUAUGAAAAAUGCAACAAAAAUGAAGGAUCAGAGAUUUGAAUUUUCACUUGUUAAAGUUUGUAUUUAGGGAUUAAACCAAAAUCUGGUAAAGAAAAAAGGCACGGAGAUUCCUGGUGCAUGCAACUUUAUCCUGCCUAUACAGUUUGGACACCUUUUUUUUUAAAUUUUCUUUUUAUUUUUAUACUUUUUCUUAAUCAAAGAGAAAAAAAAGUUCACAUCAAACAUGCAAGGGACACUAGCGUGAUGUGUGGGGAGAUGGUAAAAAGGACGUUUGGCAAAACACGCCCAUGCAAGAUCGUACUGUAGAAAGCUUACAUAUAUAAGAGAGGAUUGACAGAGCCCUUAAAGCGUGAAAGAUCGUUCUCACUCAGGAAAAAAUAAAAAAUAAAAAAGUAGGAAAAUUAUUAUUUUUUUUUUAGAAAAAAUUAUUAUGCUGUUCGCCUGAAACAUGUUAUUAGAGUUCGAAUUUAAAAUUUCGAGUACCAAUCAUCUAUCUGUUUAUCAUUUAUACUAAGUAACCGUUGGUAAGUAAAAAGAUUGUUAAUGAACAACAGCAUGUUAAAUGCUGUUUGUAAGGGAUCGAACUUAAAUUUGAAUUUUUGUAUGUGCGUUUGAACACAAAAGAAACAAAAAAAAGUUUGAUCCCGCAACUCCUCGUGCGAUAUAUUAAUUAGUUACUGAUUUUUGGGAAGUGUUGAGGUAGACGAGCUUAUUACCAACUUCACUAGAAGAAAAAAAAAAAAGAAAAUAGAAAAAAAAAAGGACUUUUAUUGAACCAUUUUCUUUCUAUAUCCACAUAGUGCAAGCUUAUUGCUAGGUUGUAAAACCAAAUACCUACCUAUAUGCACGUUUGGUGGCUUCAUUUACAUGAUUUGAUGAAAAUUACCUUCGUGGAAAGUCAGAAUCUUUAUUUCUGUUGUUUACUAUUAUGGAUUUUUUUUUUUAAUGUAGCAUAUAUUAAUAAUGGCUGCAUAUAAUUAGUUGCAUUGAGCAUGUAACAAGAAAAUUGUUAGGACCUGUUUGGUUGGCACUAAUAACAUAUUACUAGAAAUAAAAAAAAUAUUAAAGGAUCUUAUUCUUGGUUAUUCUAUUAUUAAAAAUGUGACAUUCUGGUGUUAAGCUCCCACGACCAUAUUAUUUAAUUGUAUUAUUUAAAAUUACAAAAAAUAUAUAAGUAAUAUAUUUAUUUUAUUAAUUAAUUUUAAAUAAUGCUAUAAAAAAUUUUAACAUAUUUUUAGAAAAAAAAAGAGAGAGAAUAUAGGUUAGAGAGAGAGCAUAACUAAAGAAAUAGGGCGAGAGAUGGAGACAAGAUUAGAGAGAGGAAGAGAGUUGAGAUUUUAGAAAAAUAGGGGGAGAGAGAGCUAAUUAGUUUAGAGAAAAAAAAGAGUUAAACUUUAGAGAGAGGAAGAUAAGUUUAGAGAGAGGUAUGAGGUAAGAAUACUAAAGGAAAAUAAUAUCAAUUAGCUGACGAGUGGAGAGAGAGAAAAAGAUCAUAUUCUGAUUAUCUGAAUCUAUUAUUACGAGGAUAUCCAUCCUCCCUCAAAGAUAAGUUUAAAGAGAGGUAUGAGAUAAGAGUACUAAAGAAAAACAGUACCAACUAGUCGGUGGGUGGGGAGAAAGAAACAAUUAGACAUAUUAUGAUUAUCCGAAUCUAUUAAUAUGAGGAUAUCAGUUCUCCCUCAACGAAAUAAGAUUAGUAUUUUGGAAUGAAUCUCAUUCCCAAAUAACUCUAAUAUUAUCAACCAGAUUAUUUAAUGCGUUUAGCGAAAUACCGUCAUAUUUUUCAAUUUUUAUUGAAUUUUUUUUUAAGAACAAAAAUAAUUAUUAGGAAUUUUAAAGAGAUACUACAGACCAAACGCAUCCUUACUGCCACGAGCUACAAAUAUAUAGCACACGAAAUUUUGGUCGGGGACAUAAGGUGCAGGAGAUCUCCACAAACCUGUGAGCUUUAAGUUUUUAGAUCAAUUUUAGCAAAGAAUUAAUAAUUUAAACUUUUGAAUUGGUUCGAGUAUGGUAAUAAUUUAAAACUCUUACUGUUUUAUUAUUUUAUAUAAUUUUCAUCAAAACGAGUAGUAAAAAUUACUUUCUCCCCUUCAAUUACUGCACCAUGCCAAAGGUGAACAUGGCUCUUAUUCCCCUGAGCCGCUCAGGGGGGCGACACGCUGCAGUCGCCAUACAUCGGGCCCUGCCAUUUUGGCAGCAAACCCCGCAAGUCGAGUAUAAGCUAUAAUUAUUGUUAUAAUAAAGACAUAACUGCUUCUCCCAAACGCAAACAGAGAGAGAGAGAGAGAGAGAGAGAGAGAGCUUUUAGGAGGAGAGGAGAAGAGUAGGACAAAAACACUGUAGUAGCUGGGGGGAGGAGCAGGUACAGGGAGAGGCACUGUAGCAGCUGCAUGCAGCAGCUGGUGCAGGUGCGCACAGGUUGCUAGCUGCAGCAAAACACGCAUUCUACUCCCCAGCACGUACUGCAAGCAAAAACCAAACUCACGAGAGAUCGAACCUACCUAGCUUACCACUCUUCUAUGCAUAAUAACCACUCUGUCACCGACCGUUCCUAGAGCAAGUGGUAAAGAGCUUGAUGGUUGGUACCCGAGACCCAAGUUCGAAUCCUAGUUGAUUCACAUUUUCAGCUAAGUUUAUUUCUAAAUGAAAUAAAUGAAGCGGGUAGCAUGCUACCUAUCUCUCUCUUAAAAAAAAAAAAAAAUAAAAAAAAGAACAUUGUUCUUUCAUAAAACANUCAAAAAUCGGAUCCAAUAGCUACACUAAAAGAAUUGAGCUAGAAUACUAUUAAUAGUAUUUAGACUUUUUUACUAUCGAUUUUUUAGCCGUUAGAUCUACAUUUUAAUCAAUUCUAUUAUUCAACCAACCACUCACUGAACCCUACGGGACCACUGUCGUCCUAACCCUAUAAUUCUUCAUUCAAGAGUUAAAAACUCGAUAGUACAAGAGUCCGAAUGCUAUUAAUAGUAUUCUAGCCCAAUUCACACUGAAAUAUUAUUAUUGAAUUAAGGAUCACUAGUCGUUGAUUAAACCAAUUACGUCAUUAUAUUUUUCAUAAUAUUUAAUUAUUAUUUUUAAUUUAAAUUAUAUUAUAUAUAGAAAAUUAUACGUAUGUUGUUAUUCUAGUAUUAUACCUAAUUAUAAAAUAUUGAUUUGCAUGCCAAAUUAAGUUGAUAUAAGUUUUCAAGUUUUAUUUUUUAUAAAACUAAAAUGUAUUAAUAGAAAAUAAAAUCAGUUAAGUUGAUUUUAGGCCGUUGGAUAAUUAAUAUGACUUGAUAUAUAAAAGAAAAAAAAUCUGGCUGGUUUGAUUAAAACUAGAUUGGUUUCACUUGUUCAAUCGCUGAUUUGAUCAGUUCAAAGCCACUUUUUCAUUUAUCCGGUCUAAAAGGUUGAACCAAACCGUUUUAUAGAUUGAGUUACGGUCGAAUCGGUUAAACCGGCUUUUUCAUUUAUCCGGUUUAAAAGGUUGAUCCAAACCGUUUUAUAGAUUGAGUUACGGUCGGAUCAGUUAAACCAGCUAGUUUGAACUCGUUUUGAAUCAUUGCAUUAUGGUAGAAAUGCAUGGAGUGUGAUAAGUGCAGCGCGAAAUUAUGAUGAAAAAAUAUUUUAUUUAUUUUCUUUAUAUUAUAAUCAGUACUUAGUUACAAUUAAUGUAUUUUUUACGAUUUUAUUAAAAAAUGAAG
rnacentral:lncRNA from 1 species